rnacentral:lncRNA from 1 species
GUGUUCUUUCAUUUAGGAAAUUAAGUUGUAGAUUGACUGGUAAAAUACUUUUGUUUAUCACGCUCAUGAUGUGGUCAGAUUUACCAGAUAAAUGAUAAACCUCCCUUGGCUCGUAAAGGCCAAGAGUGCAAUCAUGUCAACAUCCAAUAUCAAAUAACGUUAAAAAAGUUGCAUUAUAUCGCCAACAAAAGUAUAAAUUCGUUGAACAAAGACUACCACAUAACUUUUUCAGAUACAUGAUAAAGUAGGAGUUUGAAUAAGUGUUCUUUCCCUUAAAAAAUCAACUGGCAGAGCGACAGUCAAAAAACUUUUUGUUUAUCAAACUCAUGCUGUGGUCAUAUAUUCGGACUUUCAAGUCACAAUAUUCAUUGAUCUAAUUCGAAAGAUCAAAUUUGCAGGUGGGGACUUGAACCAUUAUCUUCUUUCAAAGAUUCAGCGAGUGAUCUAUACAGUAAAAUAGUGAUAGAAAAAACAGACUGUUGAUACGAGUUUUAUUUGCUCUGUGUAGGGUAAUAUUAUUACUUCAUUAUCGAAUGAACAGUUGUCCUUGGAUCCCGAAUGUGAGAAAAACAAUAGCUAUAUAUAACUUGCAAGAGGCUGAUAGCAAGGAAGUUAAGGAAAUUGAUGCAGGCUAUAGCGGAAUUGAACCAAACAUGAUGAAGGUAAGUACAAAUGAAGUGAAAUAUGUCCAUAAAUCUUCGAGUAAUAUUACACUUCCCAACGACUAGAGUAAUAAAUAAUUAGGAAAGGGACAAACACACCCUCAACAUUUAGGCAAAAUGAUAAAAACCCUCCUAAUAUUUUAAAAAAGACAUUUAUACCCUAAUUUAUUAUAACUUUACCAUUAUACCCUUCUAGCAUAUAAAAAAAAUUAUUAGAUUAUCCAAUUUGUCUAUAUAUUGUUAAUAAAAUUAUAAAUAUACCCUCAUUACCUCAUUCCUCUAUUUAAAUUUUUAUCAAUAACCAAAUUUCAAAAAAGACAUCUACACACUUAAAAAAAAAUUGUAAAAAAAUUGUAAUUUUAAAAAUAAAAUUUGUUAUNNNNNNNNNNNNNNNNNNNNNNNNNNNNNNNNNNNNNNNNNNNNNNNNNNNNNNNNNNNNNNNNNNNNNNNNNNNNNNNNNNNNNNNNNNNNNNNNNNNNNNNNNNNNNNNNNNNNNNNNNNNNNNNNNNNNNNNNNNNNNNNNNNNNNNNNNNNNNNNNNNNNNNNNNNNNNNNNNNNNNNNNNNNNNNNNNNNNNNNNNNNNNNNNNNNNNNNNNNNNNNNNNNNNNNNNNNNNNNNNNNNNNNNNNNNNNNNNNNNNNNNNNNNNNNNNNNNNNNNNNNNNNNNNNNNNNNNNNNNNNNNNNNNNNNNNNNNNNNNNNNNNNNNNNNNNNNNNNNNNNNNNNNNNNNNNNNNNNNNNNNNNNNNNNNNNNNNNNNNNNNNNNNNNNNNNNNNNNNNNNNNNNNNNNNNNNNNNNNNNNNNNNNNNNNNNNNNNNNNNNNNNNNNNNNNNNNNNNNNNNNNNNNNNNNNNNNNNNNNNNNNNNNNNNNNNNNNNNNNNNNNNNNNNNNNNNNNNNNNNNNNNNNNNNNNNNNNNNNNNNNNNNNNNNNNNNNNNNNNNNNNNNNNNNNNNNNNNNNNNNNNNNNNNNNNNNNNNNNNNNNNNNNNNNNNNNNNNNNNNNNNNNNNNNNNNNNNNNNNNNNNNNNNNNNNNNNNNNNNNNNNNNNNNNNNNNNNNNNNNNNNNNNNNNNNNNNNNNNNNNNNNNNNNNNNNNNNNNNNNNNNNNUAUCCUUGGGGUGAUCAACGAUUCCUAUUUAGUUUGGGUAAAAUUAUAAUAAAUUAGGGUGUAAAUGUCUUUUUUGAAACAUUAGGGGGGUUUUUGUCAUUUUACCUAAACGUUAGGGGUGUGUUUGUCCUUUUCCCUAAAUAAUUUUGCAACUUUUAAAUUUCAUAAUCCAAUACAUAAGUACCACUAAUACAAGAGAAAUUCUAGAAUAUAUCAAAGGUACCAUGCGCUAUAAUUAUUUGAGUAAUGCUACACUUUCCAACUAGAUAAUAAUUGAUUUUGCGGGUUAUGAAAAUCAUUCAAUAGAUGAGUCCUUCUAGUAUUAUUCAUAACUUUUAUAUGCGGCCUCUAGUAUUAUUCAUAACUUUUAUAUGCGGCACCAAAUUAUUGAUCAAAUAGAUGUCUAUGGGCCUAAGCUUUUCUCAAAAGUUAGCUUAAGAGUUCAAGACUCCCAAGCCAUAAAUAUUUAAUAUAAAUAUUUAAUGGAGGAUUCCAUUUCGAUCUAAAGUGGGAUAAUGUCCUAGGUUUACCUUGGAAAAUCUUUGAUACUCACAGACGUGGAACUCAAAUUAAAAAACUUAUGCCGCAUUAAUUAAUUUAUACAAAAUGAUCAGUUUGUAUAUGGGUCUUGCGGCUCUAUCAUUUACUCAAUUUUUAUUAUUAAAGAUUUUUCUUUGUUUUACACCUUAUACCUUUCAUGGUCGUUUUCAAAACAAGUUGUACAUAGUUAUAUUGACUUAGGCUUGAUUAAUUUUGCUAUUGAUAUGUUUUCAAAUGAUUUACAUGAUUCAGGAUGACAAUCAAAAGGAGUUUUCACCAGAAGAAAGUAAAAUGGAUAGCCCAUUUGCUAUGUUUGCACAAUGCAUUUCGCACAUUAUUUCUCUUAUAACUCCUGGCAAUGCAAGCAAAUUAUCAUCGACAUAUCCCGCCUUCAAAUCAGUUGUGGAUUCAGAUUCCGUAUGGGAGAAGUUUUUGCUGUCCGAUUACAAGACGAUCAUUUCUAUCUCAUCAUUCUCUACUUCAUCUUUGGUCACUUCGUUGUCUAAGAAGAAACUUUAUUUUCAUCUUUGUUACAACCCCAUUCUCAUCAACAAUAAUACCAUGAGCUUCGCGCUAGAUCACGAAAGUGGGAAAAAAUUUUACAUGGUUGGGGCAAGAGGGCUUUCUAUCACAUGGGGAAGUUCACCCCAACAUUGGAAAUGGCUUUCUCUACCAGAGUCUAGGUUCGUUUUGUUCUCCCCCGACUUUAUAUUUGCUUCAAUAUAUUUAUUUUUCAAAAAAAAAAUGGUAGAGGAUUGGGUGGAGCCCAAAUCAUUUUUUUUUUCAAUCCCUAUCUUCCAAAAUUUAAACUUAGGUGGCCAAUUAAAUGAAAUUGCUUCAAUAUUUUUUAAUCGUUGAAAUAAAUUAAAAGGAGUUAGCUAUUUACUUACUAUAUCCAUGUAUAUUAUGCCAAUGCAUUUGUAGGUUUCCUGAAGUGGCUGAACUCAAGCUUGUGUGGUGCUUCGAAAUCAUGGCAAGAAUUGAGACAAAAAUGUUGUCAUCCAAAACCAACUAUGCAACCUACCUUGUGUUCAAGUUUGUUGAAACAAGAGAAGGGUUUGAAACUAGACCAAUAGAGUUUGAUGUCUAUUUUGAGGGAAACGAUACUCACAAAAUGCAUAGCGCGUUGCUAGAUCCCCCAGCGAAUAUGCCUCAACUAUCUCUAAAUAGAAGAGAUGGGUGUAUGGAGAUUGGGAUGGGUGAGUUCUUUAAUGAAAAUGGAGAUGAUGGAGCGGUAAUUUGUAGGGUGUGUGAAUCAGAACCGACGCCUAAGUGUGGCAUCAUUAUCGAAGGAAUUGAACUUAGGCCUAAAAAUGGCAGAUAAAUACAAUUAUUUCAAUUGAAAAACGUUCAUGUUGUGUAUGUUGUAUUAAUUUGUUAAUGUUUUCCUUGUCGGUAUCGCAUGGGCAACCACUAGUACAGAAAGUGAUAACAUUGACCCAUUUUUUGUGUCUGUCUGUAGUAGUGAACCGUCAUGAUUAAUUUGUAAUAACGGUUCUAAUAUAAACGGUCAUGAAUUAUGUGUGUAACAAUGACUAUUGAAAUAAAAAUACGGUCAUCAUAUCUCAAUUUAAAAAUAAAGAAAUUUUUUUUUUUUGCUUCUGCUGUGAUCCAAAGUGAGAAAAUUAUAUUUAUCAGCUUUCGACUUUCGUCUUCCUCUUUGCUUGUCUAAGAGCUUCUUGUGUUCGUCAAGGGUGGUUCCUCAUCUUCUCAAGUUUAUAACUUACGGCCGUCCAAGGUGCUGAAAUUAAACAACACCAGCCCAAUAUCAAAUUCCAAAUGUGUUAGAAAUAAUUUGAAGUCCAAGCCCAAGCAUGAGAAGCUUCUAAAUUAUGUUGUGAUAAACAACAUUACAAUAAUGGAGUGCAAACGUGUGAAGCAAUAAGCUAUAUAAUUUUUUAAUGUGAUUGGAAAAAAUGGAGUGCAAACAAUAAGUUACAUAGUUUUUUAAUGUGAGUAAUGGAAAGCAAACAUGCAAGGUGUUACAGCCUUAAAACUCGAGUCACGCCAAUGCUUGGCUUGCGGCCUUGUGCCACGCAUAAGGUGGCAGCGGAUGUGCGAGAAAACAAGGCAAGUCUGCACGCGGGCUGGGACGUGGCAGCAACUAGCGGACUAAUGGGCAGCGCGCGCGAGAUAUGUCCGGGGCAGCGCACAAGUGCUCCAAGGAUUUAGCGCGCACAUGAAUGCGGGCAACUCAGACGCACGCUAAAGGGCAGCAGGCGAGCGCACGCAGCGGGCAAGCACGCGCCCCAAUCAGCAUGCACGCACACAAAGCGUGCAGGGCAGCGCGCAUGCGCACGCUAACGGAUAGUGGACAGGCGCGCCAAUGGAGCGCACACGCACGGAACAUGUGCCACACACAAGCAUCAGCACAAGGGGAUUGUUGGAGCAAUUCUUAGUGGCGGCGACCCGCCACUACAUGAGCACUACCCAAAACAAGGAUGUUGUCUAAGUGGGGAUGGUCCGCCACUAUUCAAUGUAACCUAAAUAAUAGUGUAUGGGCAAAGCACUAGGGUAGUGGGCUUAAUUGUUUAGUGUGUUGGUGGCAAACAAGGUAUGGGGUGGGAAUACUCUACACUAUCCUAGUAAGUGGGGCUGUCACUUACAAAUGCUAUAAGUAGCAUUAUGGGGGAGAGCUUGGGGAGAUAAGUUUUGUAGACAGUGAGUGGUAUUCUCCUAGCACUCUUGCUGGAAGCUAUUUGUAGCUCCUUGUUCUUGAUUAAAAAGAAAAGGUUGGAAGUCGGUGCUUCUGUAAAUCUCGUGUGCCUUGUGUUUGUGUUUCGGUUAUUGUAUCGUUGAAAAUCUUGGGGUGUGUUUCACACACGUAGCCUCUGUUGCGAAUUCUCGAGUGGCUGGCUAAGCAGAAAACUUAGCGCCAUCACGGGCUUGCCGCAUCGAAGAAAAUAGCCUUGUGACAGUUUGGUAUCAGAGCCUCGAUUCAACAACAUGUCGAGAGACACUUUGAAAGAUAGAAUGAGUCGGAUGGAAGCUGUUGUCGAGGAAGUACACCCCGGAGAGGAAAUCUCUAUUGAUUUGGCGAAUCUGAAGUUGGCCUUUGAUGGGUUAACUAAAGAUGUUGCUGAAAAACUCGGUUCGGUGAUGGAAGAUGUUGCUGCUUUGGUGGGGUAGCUAAAAGGUAGCGUCGCUAACCUUGAAAGUGAGUUGAGCUUGCUAAAGCACACGGUAAGUACAACUUCUAUGCAUUCGGAGGGAGGGCCUUCGAAGAUCAAGGUUCCGGAGCCGAAACCAUUUGGCGGUAAGCGGAGCGCCAAAGAGCUAGAGAACUUCUUGUGGGAUAUGGAGCAGUAUUUCAAGGCUGCUCGGAUACCUGAAGCGGAGCGGGUUUCCAUUACAAGUAUGUAUCUUGAGGGGGAUGCAAAGCUUUGGUGGCAGAGUAGACUUCAAGAAGAUGCUGAAGCCAACCGACCAACUAUCGAAACGUGGGAAUCACUGAAGCGAGAGUUGAAGGGUCGAUUCUUGCCGGUUAAUGGGAGCUGGAUAGGGAGAAAAUGCUUGAAGAAGCUCAAACAUACUGGUUCAAUCAGGGAUUAUGUGAAGGAAUUUAGUUCUUUGAUGCUGGAUAUCAAGAACAUGUCCGAUGAAGACAAGAUUUUCAACUUCAUGAGUGGUUUGCAACCGUGGGCGCAAACUGAAUUGAGAAGGCAGGUUGUGCAUGACUUGCCGAUGGCGAUUCCCGCUGCGGAAGGUUUGGUUGAUUUUAGGUUUGCGAGUUCUUCUCCCUCCAAACCUAAAAAGAAUAAAGAUUCGAAGAAAUUUGGCCCUUCUAAGCGUGAUGGCGGAAAGAAAGGGAGCUUUGCGGGAAAAGCCAAAUCAAAAGAUGGACAUGAGAAGAAAAGCUCGGGAUGCUUCAUAUGUGACGAACCACACCGGGAGAGGGAUUGCCCAAAGCGGACACAGCUGAAUGCUAUGGUCAAGGAAAUGGAGGCGGAACCUUCCAAUAAGGCAAGUACUUCUCGAAUGAACCCUUUACAAUUGAUGAAUACUUUGAGGGAGGAAGUCGUGUGCAAUGACUUCAAUCAAGGGUUGAUGGUCAUGACUGUUUUGGUGGAUGGGAAGGAAGUGCGUGCUAUACUGGACACAGGAGCCACAACAAACUUUCUUGCGUCCUAUGAAGUGACGCGUUUGGGUUUGAAAGUAACGGCUGUGGGCAGCAAAGUGAAGGCUGUAAAUUCGGCUAGUGUUGGUGUUCAAGUGGCUGUGCAAAGUUCACUACGGGUCGGAACUUGGCAGAAAACGGUAAAGUUCACUAUCAUGCCUCUUGAUGAUUUGAAUUUAAUCCUUGGUAUGUAAUUCUUUAUGGCUGCAAUGGUACAACUAAUGCCUUAUCGGAAAAGCAUUUUAAUCAUUGGUACGGAGACACCAUGCAUUGUACCAUGCAAUUUUAUGGUCCAUGGCAGAUCAAAACCAUCACUCCAAUCUGCGAGACAAUUUGCGAAAGGCUUGAAACGGAAGGAGAACUCUUGCUUGGCAGCGUUGUUGGAGAUAAAACCUGAUCAGGUUGUAGAGGUGCCUAAUGAGUACGCCCAAGUGUUGGAUGAGUUUGCGGAUGUCAUGCCGCCGGAGCUCCCUCGAGCCUUACCACCAAAACGUAUUGUAGAUCAUCGAAUUGAUCUAGAGCUUGGAGCGAGACCCCCUGCUCAGGCUCCAUAUCGGAUGUCGCCUUCGGAGUUGGUGGAACUUCAGAAGUAAUUGGAUGAUUUGCUGGAUGCGGGAUUCAUAUAACCAUCCAAAGCACCUUAUGGCACACCGAUAUUAUUUCAAAGGAAGCAAGAUGGCUCAAUACGGAUGUGUGUGGACUACCGCGCCUUGAACAAGUUAACAAUAAAAAAAAAUAUUAUGUCCCUAACAUUGCGGAUUUGUUUGAUCGUUUGGGCAGAGCCUCUUACUUUACAAAACUGAACUUGAUCGGGAUAUUGGCAAGUACGGAUUGCGGAAGGCGACGAAGCAAAAACAGUUUGCGUAACUUGGUAUGGGUUAUAUGAGUUCUUGGUGAUGCCUUUCCGACUCACCAAUGGGCCUACAACAUUCUGUAAUUUAAUGAAUGACUUGUUGUAUGAGUACUUGGACCGCUUUGUGGUGGUGUAUCUCGAUGAUAUAGUUGUGUACAGUGAGUCUUUGGCGAAUCACUUGGAUCACCUUAGACUAUUGUUCUCACGGUUACGGGAGCAUAAACUCUUUGUCAAGAAGGAAAAAUGUGAGUUUUGUCGCCGGGAGAUAAUUUUCUUGGGGCAUCGGGUAAGCCAAGGCAGAAUUCGCAUGGAUGAGAGCAAGGUCAAGGGUAUCCUUGAUUGGCCUGCACCUACAAAGGUGGCGGAACUUCGGUCGUUUCUUGGGACUAGCUAACUACUACCGCAAGUUCAUCAAGGAGUGCUCAAAAUGGGUUAGUGUACUCACGGACUUGUUGAAGAAAGAUCAGAAGUGGGAAUGCACGGAAGCGUGCCAGCAAGCAUUUGAGAAACUCAAGCAAGCAGUAGCUUCGGAGUCGGUGCUCAAACUACCGGAUUUCAGCUUGCCACCUGAGGUACAUACGGAUGCAUCGGAUAGGGACAUUAGUGGCGUGCUGAUUAAAGAUGGCCACCCGGUAGCUUUUGAAAGCCGGAAGCUAAAGGAUGCAGAACAAAGGUACUCGGCACAUGAAAAGGAGAUGACGGCAGUGGUACAUUGCCUAAGCACUUGGAGGCACUACUUGCUACGUACGGUUUUUUCUGUUGUUACGGAUAAUGUUGCUAAUACUUAUUUUAAGACGCAGAAGAAGCUAUCACCAAAACAAGCAAGAUGGCAAGAGUUCCUUGCCGAAUAUGACUCUGUAUGGAUACAUAGGCCGAGAAGGCUAAAUCAGGUUGCGGAUGCUCUCAGCCGCAAAACAGUUGAAGCGUAUGUGGCCGCUUUGACAACUGUGGUGAUGGAUUUUCUUGACAAGAUUCAGCAGCAAGCGGCAACGGAUACAAGCUACUGCCAACUCCGUGAGAAGAUCAUGCAGGGCUUGGUGUGGAGAUAUUGGGUUGAAGAGGAUCUAAUUUAUGCACGAGGUGGGAAGCUAUAUGUUCCUUCGGGAGGGGACUUGCGGUGAAUUUUGUCGCGGUAUACACAUGAUUCUCAAUGGGCUGGACAUCCAGGGGUGGAAAGGAUGAUGGCGUUGCUGGAACGUUCAUAUUUCUGGACUAAAAUGGAGGAUGACGUGCGGUUAUCCGUCAAAGCUUGCCUAGUGUGUCAACUAGACAAGACGGAGAAGAGAAAGCCAGUGGUACUUCUACAACCAUUGUCAAAUCCGAAGAGACUUUGGCAAUCUAUCUCAAUGGAUUUCAUUUCGGGAAUGGCUAAAUCGAAAGGGCAGAAAUCGAUUCUUGUUGUGGUUGAUCGAUUUUUAAAAUAUGCAAUAUUUAUGCCCGCACCUCAUGCUUGCCCAGCGAACAAGGCAGCAGAGCUGUUUUUCAAGCAUGUGGUUAAAUACUUUGGUGUUCCGAAGGACAUCAUUAGUGACCGGGAUGCUCAGUUCACCGAAAGGUUUUGGACAGUACUCUUCAAUUUGAUGGGGACAGAAUUGAACUUUUCUACUGCCAAUCAUCCUCAGACGGACGGAUAAACGGAGAGGGUGAAUGCAUUAUUGGAAGAAUACUUACGACACUAUGUGACAGCAAGCCAAAAGAAUUGGGUGGACUUGCUGGAUGUAGCUCAAUUUCGCUAAAACAUCCAUCACUGCGACAGGGAUAAGCCCAGCGGAGUUGGUCAUGGGGCAACAACCAUUGACUCCUCACGAAGUGGCGAAAUAACAUACUGGCGGGAAAUGCCCUGCAGCUUACCGAUUCGCGCGAGACAAGCAAGAAAUGAUCGAGAUAGCCAUUGAUAGCUUGGCGAAGGCAUCGCGAUGAAUGAAGAAGUAUGCGGAUGCUGGAAGACAACCGCUGGAGUUCAAUGUGGGUGACAAGAUGUUGCUAAAACUAACGCCUCAGAUUUGGAAGAAAAUCAAUGGCAAAAUGGUGCAUCGAGGGCUGGUACCGAAGUAUGACGGACCAUUUGAGGUAAUGAAACAGAUGGGUCAGGUUGCGUAUCAGUUACGGCUGCCUGAGCGGUUGAAAAUACAGCCUACAUUUCAUGUAAGUUUCCUUAAACAUUUCAAUGAAGACUUGGCUGAAACGGGACGCCAACAAGCCAAGGGUGCUCCACCGAUAAUUCGGAAGCAGUAUGACAAGGAAGUGGAGAGAAUUCUUGAUCAUAAAACCAUGGGGCAAAGUAAAAAGAAUCGGAGAACGGAAUUUCUGAUUCAAUGGAAGGGAGGUAGCGAAGCGGAUGCUAGCUGGGAAAAGGAAGUAUCUUUGUGGCAAUUCGAGCGGGAGGUUAAAGCGUACUUGGACUCCUUGCCGACGAGGGCGUCGGGUUCUUCUGGUGGGGGAGGCUUGUUACCGCCUUAAAACUUGAGGCAUGUCAAUGCUUGGCUUGCGGCCAUGUGCCAAGCAUAAUGUGGCAACGGACGUGCGAAAAAACAAGGCAAGUCUGCAUGCGGGCUGGGGCGUGGCAGCAACUAGCAGGCUGAUGGGCAGCGCGCGCGAGAUAUGCGUGGGGCAGCGCACAACUACUCCAAGGAUUUAGCCCGCACACGAAUGCGCACAACUCAGACUCACGCUAAAGGGCAGCGGGCGAGCGCGCUCGCCAAGCAGUAUGUGCGCACACAAAGCGUGCGGGGCAGCACGCACACGCACGCUAAGGGAUAUCGGACAGGCGCGGUAACGGAUAUCGAACAGGCGCGCCAAUGGAGCGCACACGCAUGGAACAUGUGCCACACACAAGCAUCAGCGCAAGGGGAUUGUUGGAGCCAUUCUUAGUGGCGGCGACCCGCCACUACAUGAGCACUACCCAAAACAAGGAUGUUGUCUAAGUGGGAAUGGUCCGCCACUAUUCAAUGUAACCUAAAUAAUGGUGUAUGGGCAAAGCACUAGGGUAGUGGGCUUAAUUGUUUAGUGUGUUGGUGGCAAACAAGGUAUAGGGUGGGAAUACUCUAUACUAUCCUAGUAAGUGGGGCUGUCACUUACAAAUGCUAUAAGUAGCAUCAUGGGGGACGAGCUUGGGGAGCCAAGUUUUGUAGACAGUGAGUGGUAUUCUCCUAGCACUCUUGUUGGAAGCUAUUUGUAGUUCCUUGUUCUUGAUUAAUAAGAAAGGUUGGAAGUUGGUGCUUCCAUAAAUCUCGUGUGCGUUGUGUUUGUGUUUCAGUUGUUGUAUCGUUGAAAUUCUUGGGGUGUGUUUCACACACGUAGCCACCGUUGCAAAUUGUCGAGUGGCUAGUUAAGCAGAAAACUUAGCGCCAUCACGGGCUUGCCGCAUCGAAGAAAAUAGCCUUGUGACAAUUUGGUAUUAGAGCCUCAAUUCAACAUGUCGGGAGACACCUUGAAAGAUAGAAUGAGUCGGAUGGAAGCUGCUGUCGGGGAAGUACACCCCGGAGAGGAAUCUUUGGCUGUCAAAACAGAGGUAAUCUCCAUUGAUAUGGCGAAUCUGAAGUUGGCCUUUGAUGGGUUAACUAGAGAUGUUGCUGAAAAACUCGGUUCGGUGAUGGAAGAUGUUGAUGCUUUGGUGGGGGAGCUAAAGGGUAAGAUCGCUAACCUUGAAAGUGAGUUGAGCUUGCUAAAGCGCGCAGUAAGUACAACUUCUAUGCAUUCGGAGGGAGGGCCUUCGAAGAUCAAGGUUCCGGAGUCGAAACAAUUUGGCGGUACGCGGAGCGCCAAAGAGCUGGAGAACGUCUUUAGGGAUAUGGAGCAGUAUUUCAAGGCUGCUCGGAUACCCGAAGUGGAGCGGGUUUCCAAUACAAGAAUGUGUCUUGAGGGAGAUGCAAAGCUUUGGUGGUGGAGUAGACUUCAAGAAGAUGCUGAAGCGAACCGACCAACUAUCGAAACGUGGGAAUCACUGAAGCGAGAGUUAAAGGGUCAAUUCUUGCCGGGUAACGCGAGCUGGAUAGCAGGAGAAGGCUUGAAGAAGCUCAAACAUACCGGUUCAAUCAGGGAUAGAAGAUUAAAGGAGGUAAAGUAAUGUUUGCUUUAAGGAUCACAAUUGAAGAAGAAAUGUUGGAGCACGUUCGGGAUGCCAAAACACCAAGGAAGCAUGGGACACUCUUGCUACACUUUUUCUAAAGAAGAAUGAUACAAGGAUGCAACUUCUUGAGAACGAGUUGCUAUCGAUAGCACAACGAGACAUGACGAUUGCUCAGUACUUUCACAAAGUGAAGUCAAUAUGCCACGAAAUUUCAGAGUUAGAUCCAAUAGCUGUUUUUGGGGAUGCGAGGAAAAGGAGAAUAAUUAUCCAUGGUUUAAGACCUGAAUACCGAGGGUUUGUUGCCAUUGUACAGGGAUGGCUGACACAACCAUCGCUUGUUCAAUUUGAAAAUUUGCUUGCAGGUCAAGAAGCUAUGGCCAAGAAAAUGGGAGGACUCGCAAUAAAGGAUGAAGAGGAAGCCCUCUACACCAACAAAAGUAAAGGUAGUUUCAAGGGCACACUGGUAAUGGAUCUACAAAAGAUGGUGAUAAAGUGAAAAGUCACCAAGGAAAAGAAGGCUCUCAUUCAGGGGAAGCUUUGAGGAAUAAUAAUAAUAGUAGAAAGUUCGAUGGCGAGUGUUUCUCUGCCACACUCAAUAAUACUUCAUCCGCAAGUGCCAAGUGUAGAUUAGAAAUGACGUUGCCAUCUAUCUCGUUCCACUUGUCAUCAGUUAUCUCCAUGAGCCUUUCUCUAAUUGCUACCAAGCAAUUAUUUUUCCUCAAUAUAGCUUUCAUCUUCAUUUUCCACAACGAAAAAUUAUUCUCGUUGAACUUCUCAAUUUCAUACUUUGCCGCCAUUUUGUUAAUGAAUACCGCACACUAGUUAGUGUACCACAUCGAAUAGUUGUGAGUAUGUGUGAAUAUGCACACCAGGAAAGUUUUCAGGAAAGACUGGAGGGGUCCCAAUGGUCCUACUUAAAACCCAAACUCCUUAGGCUCUUAUCGCUUUUGUGACAGAACGUUCCUAAACAUACACAAAACCACACAGUUACUUUACUCACACCAUUAUUCCUUACUUUGCACCGUAAAAUUCUUGGAUCACUCCCACCGUUUUCUCGUGAACAAUAUCAUAUACGUGAAUAGUAUUGUAUACAUGAAUAGAACCGUAUACGUGAACAGUACCCGACUCUAAAAAUACAACCAAUAGCUCGGAUACCACUGUUAAGAAAUUGAUGGAUGAAGCAGACACGUAGCUAAAAUAAAAUUAGAAGAAAAUAAAGAACAAGCACAAAAGAGGACACUAGAAAAUUACGUGGUUCGGCUUUUAGCAUACGUCUAUGAGCGGAGACAAAAGGAAAAUAUUUCACUAGUGAAAUAAGGAUUACAAGUAUUGUAAUACUUUGGCUCACUACCCAAAACCUCAAUACACCCAAUCUCUCACUCACUAAUUACACAAGAGUAUUAAAACUCUUAAAAUCUCACACAACUCUUUCUCUUUUACAAAACAGAGAAGAGAAACUUAAGAAAAUGAAAUGAAUAAAAUGAGGAGGGAGCCUCUCUAUUUAUAGCCAAAAUUGGCUAUUAAAUUUUUUUUUUUUUUGGGCGACAUCUUAUACCCCCAAUUGAAUCCUUACUAAAACACUCAAAUAGAAGCUCUCUCAAAUUUUGUAAAUUGCUUCAAUUGCAAUUUCUCUUAACACAAAAUGGGAUCCUAACAAUUGCAAAAUGGUUCUCUAUUUAUACAGAGCAUUUUGCACCAAUUUGGAUUCAAUUGGCCAAGUUGUGGCCUUUCAAAAGUCAAGUUUGGUGGCUAACUUUUGAACAAUUUGGUUCAGCUUUGGUGGCACCAAAAAUGUUAACAUAUAUAUGUCUAUAGUAUUGAUUUUAAAGAUAACAAACUUUAUAUGUUUUUUCUUUAAAAUGUUGGAGUUUUCAUUAAUAAACAAUUUCUUAAAAGUCGUAUAAUAUUUCUAAAUAUGUUAAUGAAAUAUGGAUAUUCGUUAACUUUAAUCAGGAAAUCAUUCCCUAAGAAAUUCUAUUAAAAUUGUGAUUCUAGAAUUAAAUGGCGAACUGUUAAUAUCAAAACAACUAACCGAUUAUUUCUAGAGAGGCAUAAAUCCUUGAUCUUGAACCGUUUAACAAAAACAGAUAAGACUAGUCCGUUUUGCAGGUUACUGGAAAUAACCGGCGAACCAUUAACUGCAAACGGCUAAUCGAUAAUUUCUAGAAUUGAAUUUUAUGCUAACCUUGAACCGUUUAACAAAAACGAACAAGCUCAUUUUGUUUUGCAGGUUACUAGAAAUAACCAGCGAACCGUUAACUGCAAACAACUAACUGAUAAUUUCCAAAAUAAAAUUUCAUGCUAACCUUGAAUAGUUUAGCAAAAAUGGAUAGCCAAAAUUUAUUUUGUAGGUCUCUAGAAAUUAACGGUGAACCGAUAGUGGCAAAAGGUUAACCGAUUCUUUAAAUUCAGCUCAACUGUCAUUUAGACUAGUCAAAACGGUUAACCGAUAACUAUUAACGACGAUCUAAUUUCUGGCAGAAAGUCAAUAACGGCUAUUUUUCAGCUCCAACUAUAAAUAAACUCAAUCAAAUUCAAACAAGGGUUGAUCACAAAGUUAUCAUUGAGCUUGUAAUUGAGAAUACAACAUUCAUUGAGCUUUAAAUUUGUUCUUGUUUCAUUUAUUCACACAUUGAGCAUUGAUUUGUAAUCAUAUAUAUUGUGUGAGAGAAAAACACAUUUGUAAUCUUUUUUUUGAGUGAUUGUAAGUGUUUGAAUGCACUUGAAUUAAGAGAUUAGGGAUAAUCUUUUGGUAUAAAGGUUAAUUGAUACCUGUGCAGUCAAUUGUAAGUGUUCUUGAAGCUUUGGAGGCUUGACUAGUGGAAUCCCCAAGCCCGGUGAGCUUGGAGGCGUGGACGUAGGCAAGGUUUAGUUUAACCACAUAAAAAUUUUUGUGUUUGAAUCUCUUUUCCCUUAUCUCUUUACAUUUUGGUUGAUUUAUUUAUUAUUGUUUUAAAUUCAUUCAAGAUUCGCAUUGAGUUUUGUUCAAGCAUUGCAUAAUUUUUUAGAAACUCAAUUCAACUCCCCCCCCCCCCCCCCCCCUGGGGUGGCCAAAAAGGAAUUUAAAAAAGGGUGGAACCUUUUAACACAAAAAAAUCUUAAGANNNNNNNNNNNNNNNNNNNNNNNNNNNNNNNNNNNNNNNNNNNNNNNNNNNNNNNNNNNNNNNNNNNNNNNNNNNNNNNNNNNNNNNNNNNNNNNNNNNNNNNNCAAAUACCUCCUUCGCGCUGCACGAAAAGCUCCUGCUCGCGCUGCCUGCUACGUGUGCUGGCUGUUGCACGCGAGUGUGAGGUAGCUGCUGCAUGCGCGCUUGCUGGCAGCAUGUGCUGCUGGUUGCCGUUGUCAAAAUUUCCGGCCUCCGUCGCUCCGAUCUGCUAUCCGUGAUUAAUUUACAAAUUUCCUAGGCCAAUUUUGGCUUACAAAAAUUCUAUAACAGUAAAAUAAAUCAAGAGGGAAACAUGGUGAUAAAAAAUCACCCCUCUUGUUACAGAUCCAAACGAAAAAUACAGUACAAAAUCUAACCAUGAAUUAAGACAAAUCAAAACAUGAUUUAUUCAUAUAUUAAACAAAUAAUAUAUAUCUGAAUAAAUUGUGCCACUCUAAUACAUAAAUUUCAAGAUUAAUUUCAUACAAAAUUCUUAUAUAUUAAUAUGAGGAGGCUCUGAUACCAAUUGUUGGGGAAAAAUCAGGUUUUUAAAUUUUUAUAAAACCUUUUUAAGAUCGCUCUCAUAUAAUAUAUAAGAAUUUGUAAUCGAGAAAUCGUACCUUGAAAAUCCAAUUUAGCUUUUUCUGCUGAAAUGAUUUAGGCUCCCAGAUCAUGAUCUGUCACCACUACUCCUGUUAGAUCACGAUCUGUCACCACCACGCUUGUUAGAACACGAACUGGUACCAAUGAUCUUCUAGGUUAUGACUUAGGUUUGAUCUACACUUGACGUGUGGGCGCCUUUAUCACUACCAAAGUAACUAGCACGAGAAAAUUUUUCUCUCAACAAUAGAGAGAAAAAUCUUUUUCUCUGAUCUGUAUAAAGUGGCUUCUUUCUUUUUUCUUUAGAGAAAAUAAGCCUUUUAUAUCUCCAUUUAGUGAAAACCUUAAGCUCCAAACAAUCCAAAAAUAAAACCCACGUUAUUUGUUUUUUCUAUAGGGGACCCAUCUUGUAAAAUAACAUAAGGCCCCUUACACACAAGCUAAUUAAAUGGAGCCUCCCACUAAAAGAUAUAUUUAGGCUUUUGACCCAAAUCGCUAGUUAUCUUACUUAUUAGUCCAGUAGUGGUGCAGUCAAUUAAAUGAGCUAACCCGGGGAUCAUUUGGGAACAUACAAUAGUGGCUAUAACAAUUAGGCUUGUAAUUAAACUAGCCUAAUUAUUUAAUUCCAAAUCUACUCCACUAAAAGAUUAGAAUUGACCUCCACAAUUGUAUGCUCGAAUAAUAAUUCGUCCCAAGCCACAUUGAUUUCUUUACGGCACAAUCCUUUGUACCACAUCGUUAAUAAAUUGAUAUUUCAACUAUCCAAUCAAUUUAAUAACAUCUUGUUCCUUGAUACUUACUGGUUUUCUCUAAUGAUCAUUUUCAACAUACUAAAUAUGUUGACACACUCUGACCAGAGAAUUCUAUGAUCAAGUGCCGAAAACCCAUCAAGAGAUGUAUUGUACAAAUUCUAUAUUGUUAAUCCAUAACUACAAUACUCAUAAUUCCUCCCACCAAGAUACCGGGUAAUCUUGACCACAAGAAUGUGCCGUGCCCAUUGGUAACUCAAAUGGAAUAACAAUUAUAAUCAUGAAAUCAUAACUAACUCAAGAUUAAGAUUACAGUGAAAUCAAUGCCUAUGAGAUUUAAUAAGUCUGACAGUCAUUUCAAGGUUAAUUAAAUCUCAUAUGUGAUCAUGUUCAAUGUAGUCGUAUUACAUCAAUAAAUUCAUACAUGAUUAAGACAAAUCAUUCAAUGAAUUCAUUACAGUCUAUACCUAAAUAAAGUGUCCAACUUUAUUUAUCAACUACGAACUAAAUUUAUUUAAUCAUAAGAUAACUUAUAUUUAUGUCUUCUGUGAAUCCACAUGGUGAUCACAUAAAUACAUAUAAUAUGAUUAAAUGGACUUUAAUUAAAAAUAUUAAUUCAAUUAAGAUAUUUGAAUAAAAUACCUCAUUAAUUUUAUUAAUCAAAAAAAAUAUUUAUUACAAUUAAAUAAACACAUAUGCUUUUAAAGAGCAUAUUUUCCCAACAAUAUAUACAUAAAUUAAACAUGUGUUGUUUGCUCCACUCUCUCUCACGCUUUAGCUGCAGCACAGCCAGUUACCCAAGCCCUAACUCGCAUCUGCUUUCUCCUUACCGCCGACCUACUGCUUCGUUUCUUUCCUUACUCUGUUGCUAGCUAGAUAGUGAGGUAAUGUGUAUGUUUUCGUUCGUGAGUAACUUGCUCUGUUUUUCUUCCUUUUUUUUUUUUGAAAUGGAUCUUUUUUUUUUUAAAUAACUCUUUAAUUUUCACUUAUUUCAUGUUUAUUUAAGUUAUUAAUAGCAUUUAGUUUUAUUAGUUUUGCCUAGUUAUGAGCAUGUUAUUGUAUUUUUCAAUUUUUUUCGUUUGGAAAUUAUGCUCUGGACAUUGCUGGGUGAAGUCUGCUGGCCACGAAAAGGUUGAAGAUGAUGGAGGGAAAAUAGCAUUUAGGUCCCUUCUUUUUUAAUAAUAUUUUAGUAUGACCUAAUAUUUAGAAAAUGUUGCAUAUAAGAAUUCUAUUAUGAUUUAGUUUGUUUGCUAACUUUGCAUAAUAUUCCUUGACCGAAGGUCAACUAGAUAAAAUAUCAUUUGAUUCCUUAAUAUUUUGCUAGUUUCUACUAUGGCAUAAAUACUUAUUUUAUUUUAUUUACAUUUUGGGCCUAAACUUUUGAUAUUAAACACAGUAACUAUAAUUUUGAAAACUCUUCAUUUUAAUCCAACAUUCUUGCUUUUUUUUUAAAUACAAAUUUGUAAAUUGUUUUUUUGGUUUGAUUAUACAUUGAUUUCAGUAGGCUUUUUGUGCAGGAUGGAAGUAAAUAGCAAUGUUGUAAAGGAGAUUAUGAAGGAUGAUUUUGAGGAGGAUGUUGAAAUAGAAAAUGAUUUGGAAAAUCGAACCGAAAACCGAACCGUUAAGAUGAACCGAAAAACCGAUUGCUUAAAUAAAACCGUUAAGAGAACUGAAACCAAUCCGAAACCAAAAACCGAAACUGACCUAUCUGUUUUGAUUCGGUUUUUUUGAAAAAAAAAAAUCGAACGGUUUUUUUAAAUUUUAGAUCCAAACCGAACUAAACCGAUGCCCACCUCUAUCGAGGAGGAUUUAAGACUUUUGUUGUAAAUUUUUACAUUUUUACCACGGUAAAUGUGGUAAUUGUAAAAUUAUAAAUUUUUAUCAUGUUAGGUAUGAUAAUUGUUAGUGGAAUGUGUUGGAUAUGCUUGAGUGGAUAAGUUAGGUUUAUGUUUUAUUAGUGAAAUUAUUAGUGGGACAAAUGUAAGGUUAAGAUGUAAUUAGAUUUUUUUAUUUGUGUGGUGAGGAUUUACCAUGUAUUAAUAUAAAUAGAGGGGGGUGAACACACCUCUCCACACAUUCUCUUCUUUUCUUUCCCCCCAAAUUCUUCUUCUCAUCUCUCUUUGUAAUUUAUUUUCAAUCAAUAAAAUUAGAUUUAUUUUAAUUUUCAAAUUCCAUUUUUAAUUAUGUGUUUUUCAAUUUUAGUAAUUUCCUUUAUUAAAAAUAGGUUUAGCUAAAUAUUAAUAGUUAGGGGAAGGUGAAACUCUUAGGAAAUAAAUAUGAUUUAAUCAAAUUUUAUUUUUAAUUUUAUAAAUUAAGUUAUUUUCUAUUUAAUUUUAUACAUAUUUUAUAUUAUGAAAUUUUGAUUUAUUGUAGACAAACAAGAGAGUUUGGCACAAUAAAUUCUUUUUAUCUUAAUAUAAGGUGUGGUAAAAUGGUAUUUUGACUUAUUGUAGACAAAUUAAAUUUUGACACAAUGAAUACUUAAUCCAUCAUAAAAUUAAAGGGAAAAUAAUAAUAAUUUAUAUAAUUAAUCUUUUGGGCAAUAAAUCUAAAAAAAAUGGCAAAAAGAAUUUAUUAAGUUUUAUUUACAACUAAGAGUGAAUCCACAACCCUAACUAAUUCAAUUUCAUAAUUUUAUUUAAAUUAAGUUAUUUAUAUUUAAGUUUUAUUUUCAAAUUUUAGAUAAAAUAAAAGAAACAAAUUAAAUCUUUUCUCUGUGGAUCGAUCCUGGACUCACCAAGAUAUAUUAUAACUAGACACUCUUAUACUUAAGAGUAAAUCAAACACUUUUAAGUCAUGUCAAUAAUGAACCCAAUUAAUAUUAGGGAAAUUAUCAAUUGUAUACCCUUAGUUUACUCCGUUAUCAAACUUACUACAACACUUUCAGGGUAUAUCAGUCGUUCACCCUAAGUUGACAAAAUGUAUCUGUCGUCCACCAAACCGUUAGUUGCCGUUUAAACAUGAUGACGUCAAAAGGGUAAUCUAGUCAUUUCAUAUGAUAUAAGUGAUAAUUUAAGAGUAUAUAAGUGAUAAUAAUAGACUUUAAGGAUAUACAAGUGAUAAUUUUCAAGGGUAAAAUCGUCAAUUCACCACAGUUCCGUUAAUUUUCAAACGACAGCUAACGGUUUAGUGGUCGGUAAAUAACUUUUGUUAAUUUAGGGUAGACGAUUGAUACACCCUUAAAAUGUUAAUUGCAUUUACCUGCCAUAUUCAGGCCUAACCUCAAUACCUUGGAAAAUAAUAGUGCCACGCUUAGAUAAGGGUUCUGGUUCGGACAGCCUACAAACUACUGUUCCUUCAUCUCCAUUUUCAAUAGAGAACUCACCCAUCUUAAUCUCUAUCCACCUAUUUCCUCGGUCUUGAGAUAGUUGAGGAUCAAGAAACUCUCUACGCUUUUUGCCAUUAUGGCUUCCAUCAAAAUAGACUUCAAAAUCUAUAGGACUAGUUUCAGGCCCUUCUCUGAAUUCCGCAAACUUGAACACAAAGUAAGCGGCAUAAUUGGUUUUGGGUGAAAAAAUUGUUGUACCAAAUCUUGCUUCGAUUUCUAAACUCGACAUAAGCUUAAGUUCAAUCACUUCAGGAAACCUAGAUCCAGCUGAUGAAGGAAUCAUUUCGCAAUCUCGGUGUGAAAUUCCCGAAUUUUCAUAAAUCCAUUUUGCACCAGCCAUGUAACAUUUUUUACCACUCUCUUGCUCUAGCCCAAAGCUCGCGGUAUUAUUGUCGAAGAGGAUGGGGUUGCGACAUAGAUGAAAAUAAAGAUCCUUCUUCUUCUUGUCGAUCAAAGAUGAGUUCGAAAUGAACCCUUCGUAAUCGGACGGCAAAAACUUCUCCCAUACGGAAUCUGAAUCCGCAGCCGAUCUGAAGGCGGGACAUACCAGUGCCAACCUACUUGCAUCGCGAGGUGUCGUAAGAGAAAUGAUGCGCGAAAUGCACUUUGCAGGUAGCUGCACAAAUGUAAGACAAUGUACUGAAUUUAUCUCAAAAUACAUUACAAAGAGCACUACAACAGUGUCCGAAAAUUAUACCCGACUGGACAAAAUCAAAAAUAAUUUUCAAGCAAAAUAUUUUUUUUUCUAUCCCAAACUUUGAUCCUAAAUGAUGUAGUAUUUGUUUGGAUAGUGAGAUAUUAUAACUAAUUUACUUGGGACCUAUAAGAUUUAUCAACUAUUUUGAUGAAUCAUACAUCACAUGCCCAAUUAUUUUUGGAUAAAAUUUUGGGAUAUUUAUUACUACUAACCAAUCUGAAAAUCAAAAAUAGAUUUAAUCAUAGUGGUAAAAAUUUGUAAAUGACAUGUAUCUAAUAUCAAUAAUAGAAAGAGCUCAAAUCCGUACAUCUUCGAGUUUUUUCUUUUGAUAAGUAAGAAUCGAACCACUCUUACCAAUCACCUCAGAACCUAGAAACCAAAAAGGAGAAUAAGAAAAAUGGGUUAAACAGAAAAGAAAGAAAAAAUUGAAAGAUCAAGAUAUAUGAAUUAAAGCAGUAAUAUUGUUCUUAUUCACUUUGGAUACUCAAUUGAGAUACUUAUUGAUAUAGCAUCUUAUAUAUCAUUUAUUGAGAAAUUUUAAAAGUAGUAGGUUAAUAAUUGAUAAUAAAAUUAAUUAAUACCAUAUACAUAAUAUUAAAUAAUUGGUGACACAUCAGUAGAUAUCCUAACUAAGUAUCCAAAUUAAGUGGAAGCGAAGACUUAGUUCAUAUAGUAAGAGCAUUGUCUUCUUAGGGCCAAGUACUAAGUUCGAGCCUUAGUAGGGGAAAUGAGGUGAAAUACAGUCAUCCUCACCCAAAAAAAAAAAAAAAAAGUUACCCUAACUAAGCACGGUAUUAUACAAACUCUUUCAAAAUCGAAGCUAGAUUUUUUUCCUACUUUUUGUUCCGUCAAGUAGCAUCACUCUGAAUUAAAUCAGCAUACAUAUUAGUUUGUGAUUUAAUUUUUCAUUCUUACAUAUAUGGAUAUUUUUAUUAUAUUUUCUAGUGAAGGUGCUGACAUUAUGUUUAACUAAGGAUUAAAAUAAAUUAAAAAAUAAACCUGCAUAGUGAGAAAACAUGAGAUUAGUUAUGAAAGAAAAAUAUAUAUAUUGACCUGGCAAAAUGUAUUCUUUUCGCUUAAGCCUUUGCCGUCCUGGCUUAGUUUUCUGGCCGUAAGAGCUCAUCUAAGAAGAAGAAAAUAGAAAAAAAAAAAAAGAUUAAAACAAAAAGACAAAAAGAUUAAAAAAAAAAAGACAGAUUUUGGAGUUAAUAUUUGUUUCUUUUCCAAUUUUAUUGAACUGGCAAAAUGAUUGUAUUUUUUUUUUUCGGUGUCUAAUCAGAAAUAAAAUAAUCGAAAAAAUUAAAUAAAUCCCAGUGCCGAAAAAGUGAAAAAUGACACGUAUGCAUAUAAUGUCGUAUGGAAAAGAGGUCACGUCCCUACAUUGUUGGUCCCAGAAUCCACAGGAACCGAAUCUUGAACAUCGUCAACAAUCACCUCAGAGCCUAGAAACCGAAAAGGAGACUGCAUGAGUAAAAGCAGAAGGACCAAGACAAAUUUUGGUUGAUUACAGCCUUCGUGCACGUCUCCAUUCACAAACAGCUAACUCAGAAUUUAAUUAUUAAUUACUUUAAUUAGAAGUUGAAAUCAUUAAUGGUAUUUUUUUAAAUGGUUUUUAAUUAAUAUUCUUUAACUGACUGCAUGAGUUUAAAUUUUAAAAGAAGUAUAGACUAAAAAUAAAUUUUAUCUUUAUCCACCCUUACCUUUUAAAAAUAAUAAUAAUAACAAAAGAAUCAGUAAAGGUAGUUGGGUCUCUUUCUAAACUCACUAAAAUUCUCAGUCACUUUUUUUCACUCAAAGUAGCAUUUGUCAUCAUAAUCCAUUAAAUAAAUAUACAUAAGAGUUUGUGAUUUUUUUAUCACUAUUAAAAAACACUUAGCUACUACUUAAUUAAGUCUGCAUUAAAGUAAAAUGAUGGCAGAACUCUAUAUACACACACAUACAUACACACACAAAAUAAUAAAUUCAAAUAUUAGACCAUAAUAAAAUGAAACUAAUAAUGGGAAAAGAUAUGAUUAAUUAGAAAAGGGAAAACAAAAAAGAAAGGAAAUAAUAAAAGGAAAAAAAACGAAUUGACCUGGCCAAAUGUUUCCGUUUCGCUGAAGCCUUUGUCGUCGUGGCCUAAUUUCUUGGUUGAUAGAGCUUGUCUAAGAACAAAAGAGUUUAAAAGAAUAAAAAAAAUGACAUGAGCUUGGAGCUAAUCAGAUCCUUUUGCAAUUGAUGUAAGAUAUAUUACAAUGUAACCUAGCAUAUUUAACUAUCAAAAUUAUAUUUUUUAGGACCUAAUAGGAGAAAUGGAUAGUUAUAUCCAAGUUUUUGGAAAUAAACAUGUAGAUGCUCAUGUUUUUAGAAAAGAACACUAAGUUAUUUUUUUACCAUAAUACUCUUUGAAUAUAGUUGACGAAUAAUAUUAAAAUAUUUGUAGUAUCUAAAAUAAUUUUGAAUAUAUAAAAGUAUUAUAUUUAUUGAAUAAUAUAUUUGUAUUUAUUACAGAUAUUUUAUAUAAAUCUUUGGAUUAAAUAUAUUUUACAAUUAGUAAAAUAUCUUACUUACUAAUGGUGCUUAAAUUAUUAGGGACAUUUUUCUACCAAAAGUUUUCUGGCAUACCAAGUCAGCAUUAAGGAUUCGUGAAAACUGCAUUUUACCACUUAAUAUUUAUGCGGUUAUUACUGUACCACUAUUUCAUUAAAAAAUAAGUAAAUAUUUAACUGAAUAUAAGUUAAAAUUCAAUUUUGUCCCUAGAGUGUAAAAGACAAUCUUGUCCUUUGAAAAAAAAAAAAUAACAAACCCGAGUUGUGUUGUUUGGCUGCGUAGCUGUUUGAUGGUAUUUAUGGUCAUUAAGGCGGCGGUUCAUGGUGUUGAUUGCUGGGUUAUGAUGGCCAGUGUUUUCUAGUGGUGAUGAUCGAGGAAAAGAAGAUGGAUGGUUGCGGCAGCUGAGGCGGGUAGGGCUUUAAUGUGUUUCUGAUUUUAUUUUUUUUUCCCCCUUUUUUCUCUUCUUCUUCAUUUCUCCGGCUUCUCUGUUUCUUCUUCAUCUUUAAAUUUCUCUCAUUUUUCCUUUUCUUUUUCUUUCCCUCUUCGUUUAUUCUUCUUUUUUUUUCCAUAACUUUUUCCCCCUUUUUCUCUUCUUCUUCGUUUCUUCUGCUUUUCCAUUUCUCCUUCAUCUUCAGAUUCUCAACUAAGAACUCCCUUCUUCAAAUUCUCAGAGCAUUUGCCUUUCUUCCUCUCUUCACUCUCAAUUUCUUCAAAUUGCCAUUUAAUUUUCAUUUCGGGUUAGGAUUUUUUUAAUUUUUUUAUUAUUUAGCAGUUUAUUUCAUAAUUGAGAACGAUGCAUAUUGGUUUUAAUGAAAAAUUCCUUAAACCCUUAUGACAUCAGCAAAUUUUUAACUAUAUUAACAUUUUGGUGGUUAAAGGAUAAUAGCCUAAACAUUAGGUAGUAAAAUGCAACUUUUAAGAAAUCUUGAUACUUACGUGAUAUAUUAGAAAACUUCCAAUGGAAAAAUUAAAAUAUCCCAAUUAUUAUUUUACAUAAUAUUUAAAAUAAUUUAGAUUUUAAUAUAUUUGUUUAAACAUUAUGUUUCUAUUUAGUAUAAAAUUAAAGUUAUUUUAAAAUGUAUUUAUUAUUACAUUUAUUUUAAAAUUAUAUUUUUAUUUAGUCAAUAUUUUUUGAGUUAAUAAAAAAAAUAUUAUGAUAUAAAAAAAUAUCUUGGGAUUAGAAAAUUUGGGGUCUAUUUAAUUAUUUCUCCGACCUUAGGGAUGUAAGUGUUCUUUUUCCUACCUAAUAAUUUAAAAUAAAAAUAAAUUUAAUCCUGGAUCUACCUCGUCGCCAAUCACUUCAAAGCCUUCACUAAUUGAAUUAGCAACUAUUUCCUAUAAUAAUAAAAUAACACAUAUAAGACAGUAAUGAAUUUUGUUUUGGAUUGAUGUUUGCAAAUAAUUUUGAACUGACCUUAUUGUCAUCAACAAUUUCUUUUGCUUUAUCCUUGACCUUGGAUCCUGGGUAUGGAUUGUUUCCGCGAAUCUGGUAUAUUAUUAGAAAAAAUAAAUUUAUAUUAUGAAUUAUAAAGAGAAUUUUUUCUUUUUCUAGGAGAAUUUAUAUUUUGAAUUAUGAAGAGCACAAAUCCCUACAUCUUGAAGUUUUUUCUUAGUUUCCGUACGAAUCGAAACAUGACAACCGUCACCAAUUACCUCUUCAGAACCUAGAAACCAAAAAGGAGAAAAAAGGAUAAAUUAAACAUAAAAGAAUGAAAAUAUAGGAGGACAAAUGUAAAAGGGUAAAUAUUUGUUUAUAAAAAAAAUGUGAAAAAAGAAGAACAAAAAAUAAAUUUUUUUAUUUUAUAAAAAAAUGCGAAAUAAAAAAGACUAUCUCCAGACUUAGUCUCCUAUUCGAAAAUUAAAAAAAAAUGCGAAACUCCAAUGUACUGAAAUAUAAAAAAAUAAAAUUUUCAAUACAUUGGAGUUCUUUUUCUAUUUAUAAGAGUAUUUUUAUUUUAAUAAAAAGAAAGAAAUAAUAUAUAUAUAUAUAUAUAUAUAUAUAUAUAUAUAUAUAUAAUGUUGUCAGGUUUGAGAACAUCCAGAUUUUACAAAAUUCGAAUUUAGAAUAAAAAUAUUGUGAUUAACGGGAAAAGGAAAAAAGGGAAAACAAAGAACACAAAAUAUGUAUCUUGACCUGGCCAAAUUUUUUCCUUUCGUUGAAGCCUUUGUCGUCCUAGAUUAGUUUUCUGGUUAUAAGACAGUGUCUUAGAAGAAGAAAAGAGAGAGAGAGAGAGAAAAAAAAAAUUGAUAGACUUUUGAGUCAACAUUUGUUCCUUACCUCACCGAUCACCUCAUAACCUAUAAACCAAAAAGGAGAGUGAGAAAAACUGAUUAAACAAAAAGGAUAUAAAAAAUAGAAAGACCAAGACAUGUUUGGUUAAUUACUGUCUUCAUAAGUAUCGGAUCUUAAAUAGUUAAUUUAGAAUUUUCUCGCUAGUGAGUUGAAUUCAAAGUUUUCAAGCUAAGUCAGAUAUAUAUUUUAGUCUGCUUAUAAACUCUUUCGAAAUAUUCGUCAGAGAAAAACUCUAAAAAUUAAGAUUGGUGCUACUGGCACCCCUAAAAAUUUUCUGAAAAACCCUAUUUCUGAGUACACCCCACAAAUUAAUUUAUUAUAAAUUAAUUUUACAAGUUUAAAUUAAUUAUUUUUUUUAGCCCGCCAACCUCCUCAAAAUUUAAGUUCUGGUGAUCAAUUAAAAAAACUACUUGGUGAAACCCUUGGAGGGUUGGGGCAAUUUUUUUAACAAAAAGAAAUAAAAUUUCUUUAUUAAAAGCUCAACCGAGUAAAUAAGCUGUUGGCCAUCACUAAAGAAAAAGAAAAACUAUAAAAUAAAUAAUAAAAUAAUGAAUACAACUUAAUCAACUAAAACAACGAGAAAAAGAAAGCAUUAAUUGUGAAAAAAGAAGCAAAAAAAAAAAAUUAUUUGACCUGGCCAUAUUUGUCCAUUUCGCUGAAGCCUUUGUCUUCUUGGCCUAGUGUUCUGAUUGUAAGAGUUUAUCUAAUAAGACAAAAUUUAUAGGGAAUAAUUCUCUUAAAUUAUAAGGACCAAAUUAGCGUUUGCCUGAAAUUAUAUGAGGUAAAAGCAAGGAGGUAAUAAAAGUGAAAAAAUAGAAUCACCUACGAGUGGAGGUGAUUGUUGGAACGGUUCUUCAAUUUCUUUCGAUUCUUCUCGUAUUUGAUUCAUGAUUUGCUUAAUUAAUUUCUCCAUUCUUUACUUCCUCGGCCAAUUCAUCAAUCUUCAGCCUCAAAUCUUCUGUUUCCUACGUGAAUUAAUUAAAUGACAUCCAUAAAUUAUAGUAUAUAUAUAAUCAAUGGAUUGGAAUUUUGUACUCACCUUGUUCUCAAUUGAAGUUACAGUGCCUUCUGCCUCAUCACGGGCAUGAGAAUUAUAAAUUUAUAAUGAAUAUCAAAGCGCAAGAAUAAUGAAGAAGGCUUCUGAGAAUGAACGCGUUCGCUAUCCGUAGUUUGAUUUGUCGUUUGAUAAUGAAAAUGGUCAGCUGGAGUGAUCAAAUAAAUUUAUUGUGAAGAAUUUUCAUUAUUCAAUUUUUUUUUUUCCAAAAGAAAGAGAAAAUCGUUGACCCAAGAAAUCAGGUAGAAUAGCCGCGCGGGGAUGAGGAUAAGAAUCUUGUGAUGACACAUAAUGUACAACAACAUUAGUAGUUGUCAAUUCACAUGAGCAAUGUUAUUAGUUAAAAGGGUGGUGAUAUUUCCACCCCAUAAAUUUUGUAAACCCACCUUAAUUUUAAAAAUUAUUACAACAAGUACACAAUAUUCUUUAAAAAUUCAAAUUAAGAAGAAAUUUAAAAAUUUAACCAAUUAAAUCCAUAUUCAUUAAUUUUUUUAUGAGACUAUUUGAUCAAUAAAGUUGUUUUAACAUAAAUUAAUAUAAUUAUUCUAACCUCAUAAGGCAAAAGUACCAAAAAUAUCUAAAAAUUUACUUUACUUUAAUAAAUUUUUAUAAAAAAUUAUAUUUUAAGGAUGUAUGAGUAGUACUUUUUUAGUAUAAUUAUUAAUAUUCCACUAUUAAUAUACUUUUUUAGUAUAUUAUUAAUAUUAAUAUUAUUAGUAUAACGAGAUGUAAUUAGGACAUCUGGAUUAUUGAAAAUUAUGAAAUUUUAUAUAAAAUAUAAAACUAAGUGCCUAAACAAUUAGUUACAAUAAUAUAUAUUUCUUAGGGUGAUUUGGUUAUUUUAGAUUAUAAGGGUAAAUUAGUUAAAUUAAACUUAUCUUAAAGUAACCUUAAAUUGUUAAAGAUUGUUAAAAUACAAAGUAAGAAAAAAUAUAUUAUAAGAAUGAUUUAAUUAAUUAAUUAUUCAAACUUAUUAUUAAUUUGUAAUUCUAUAAAUUAGGGUGAACUUAUUUUAAUUAUUUUAUGAACAUGGGCUGGUUUAUAAAAAUAGUGGGUUGAAAAUAUCCACGCCCUAUUUUAAAUUGGACAAAUGAUAGCUAUGCCCCCAAGGUUUAUGAAAAUAGUCAUAAAAAUUCUCAAGUUUCUACUAAGAGAUACCAAAAUCUUCUUUAAGCUAUAAUACCUUUCGUUGUAUUAAAUUAAUUCCAAUGUUUUAUGAAAAUAGAGAUAUAAUAUUAAAAUAAAUGUAAUAAUAUGUACAUUUUAAAAUAAUUUUAAUAAUAAAAACUACUUUAAUAUUUUAUAAACUACUAGACAUGUUUUAUUAUAUUAAAUUAAUUUUUUUAUAAAUGGAAACAUAAUACUAAAAUAAAUAUUAUAAAUAUUUAAAUUAUUUUGUAUAUUAAAUAAAAUAUUUUUUACAAUGGUAAGUGAGAUAUAUUUUAUUAAUUGUAAAAUAUAUUUUACAAAUAUUUAUUUGGAAUAUUUAUAAUAGAUGCAAAUAUAUUAUUGAAAUAAAUAUAAUAAUUUAUAUUUUAAAAUUAUUUUAAAUAGUAAAAAUAUUUUAGUAUCAUUAAUCUACUAGAAAUAGAGAUCGCAAUAGGGAGAAGAUCGACAUCCCUAUACCCAUCUUCGAUGCUCUAUUUAUAUUCCCGUAUGAUUUAAAAUUAACUAAAAGGAGGAGAUAGGGAUCCCUAAAGGUAUCGAAUCACCAAAUAACUAAUUACUUUAUUUUUUUAACUUAAUUUAAUCAUAUUAAUGUAAGAGUAUAUAAUCGUCUUACCAAUGUAAAAACAUCAAGAUAAACUAAAACAAUUAAAAUCAUUUCAUAUAAGUAAAUAAAAGCACCAGGUCGGUCAUGCUACUAUUUCCACCCCGGCAUGAAUCACCUCAGCCAAAUGGUACGAGCAGAGCAGGAGCAACAUGAGCCGAGCCGAGACGAAUGCUGACCAAAGGUAUAUACCGAGCCGGUACCCGUACCCCAAAAAGCGGAAACACGAUCUCACAGAAUCGCGGCAGUUGCGCUUUCCCAGAACCGUUGCAGGAGAUGCGAGAUCCCACGUUUGCCCAUGAUGCAGCAGUUAGAGUCCCAUGAGGGGCUGCCACUAUCCGAAAAAGGUGGGACGAAGGGCAAACGGGAACGUGGGGACAGCGGCUAUAAAAGAAGAAGAAAUCGACGAAGAAGGGGACAGAAAAACUGGAAAGAGGGAAAACGCUGCCAAAUUGCAACCAGGCCAUUUCCUUACAAAUUUCUAACAAACAUCUUAAAUCCAAAUUACACUGUUUUCCCGUAAACACCUUGUGCUAACUUAGGCAUCGGAGGGUUUACGCCGGCAAAACCACCGGCGUCUCUGAUCCGUUUUCGGUGAACGCAGGUCUAGUGAGAGAAAGGAGGGUGAUUCCAGCCUUAGCGGUUCGUGCAGCAGUCGAUAACUUAAACGUUGGUGAAAGAAUCUGGUCGGUCUAAGGACGAGCAGAUUUCGGCAUCAACAUUUUGGCGCUGUCUGUGGGGAGCUGAAUAAAAAGCUACCACCAAAUUAGCAGUUACCGGAGAAGCAACGAACGAUCAGAUAUGGAUGUGUCAAGAAAGGAUACUUUGAGGGAGGACAAUGAAACGGUGGAGACAAUCACUCUCCGGGAAAUUGCGAAUGAAGCCCGAGAGAGGAUGAUGCAAGACAGACUGGAGCGGAUGGAGAAACAAAUGGAGACUCUCGCGUCCAUAUUGUUUGAGUUGAGGGAUGAACGGAGAAGGGAUUGUGAAACCCCCAUGGGAAGAGAUGAAGUCGGAGCAGAACCAAGCCUCCGGAGGCGUCGAGUUGAGGAAAUCCCUCCGCCCGCAGGCCAACUUAAUGGGGUGCAUCCCCACAAAAGUACUGGUCGGAUCCCAGGGGAACACGUGGAUGAAGGGGGAGACCAACCUCGCCCCGGACGCAUACGGGAAACUAAUGGCCGAUGAGCAAAUGUUGAUGAAGGAGAGCUCAGACAAAGGUUGCAGAGCGCCGAGCAGGAGCAAGAUCAGAUAGCUGCACGGGAUCCUGACCGUGCUAUAGAAUUGGAGGGGGAGGUGCGCAGAUUGGCGCAGGUGAUAGAGGAGAUACAGGGCAAGAGAAAACCCCCGAGCUGGAGGAUAAUGCUAGAUGAAGAAUCUCUGUUAUCAAUUGAGAUCAUGGGUACCAUAAUCCCAAGAGACUUCCGCUUCCCCGACCUCAAAUACUUCAGGCGAAGUGACCCGCUGGUGCACAUUAAGCGUUUCAACGAUAUGACGGGUGUGCAGGGGCUGACACCAGCUCAGAGGUGCAGGGCGUUCCCGUUGACGCUAGAGGGACGAGCUCGAGAAUGGUACCGCAAGCUGCCCCGAGGAAGUAUAAAGGGGUAUGAGCAGAUGUGCCAGGAGUUGGCCGAGCAGUUCCGAGGGGCAGUAGCCCCAGAGGACGACAUGAUGGAACUGAUGGGGAUGAGACAAGAGGAGCAUGAAUCCCUUCGAGACUUUGUAAAACGAUAUCACCGAGCCGUGCUGGAUCUGGGAGCUUUUAAUCACCCGCAGGCGUUGAGGGGAUUAAAAGAAGGUGUAAGGAUCGGCCGACUGUGGUAUAACUUAAGAAGCCCCCUCGUACAGAAUUACUCGGCGGGGUAUGAGCAGGCGAGGCGAGAUAUAGAAAUCGAAGAGGAGAAAUCGGCAAGAAUUAAAAGUGAACAGCUGGAAGAGCUGAGGCGAAAGGACCGGCGAGCCCCGAAAGGGAGCGGGUCGGAAAAGCGAAUCGGAGAAUCUUCAAUGAUGGGCGGAAUAUCAGCUCGGUCCCGCCCUUACCCCAUAGCUCCGAGAGCACAACAGUUUCAACACAGCCGAGCUCAACCUCUGCGCCCCCCGAUCCCAGAGCGGCAGCGAGUACUCCGGCAGAUGGCUGCCCACCCCUAUCCCAACACUCCCAGAGCAUUACAUGCGAUAAAUUCCAGGGCUAGACGACCAGAUCAGUUAGCGACCGAGCCAGACCGAGGUGGCAUUCAUGAUAGCCGAGCAGUUUAGCUGGUAGACCAGAGCUUGGCAUAUAGACAGUACACUCCCUUAAAGAUCUCCAUGGAGGAAUUGUAUGAGAGGAUUGAAGGACGAGGCCUGCUGUACCCUCCAGCCCCAAUAACAAAACCGACUCACCGACGGGAUAAGAGCAGAUUCUGCAAGUUCCACGACACUCACGGUCACACUAUCAGCCAAUGUCGUGACCUGAAGAUUCAGGUGGAGGACUUAGUGAGGAACCGAUACUUGGACGAGUACGUAGAUGGAAUGUCCCCUGUCACGGAGUCGCAGUACACGCGGGAUGACGGAGUUGAGAGGGAUUUGGAACGUGAACAGCCGACCAUCCGUGUGAUAGCAGGAGGGCCAACAUUGGCCGGGGAUUCGAACAGAGCACGGAAGAACUAUGGGAGGUACGCCAUGACUAGCAAAGAAGUGCUUUUCAAUUUGCCAGCAACCAAGAAGGCAAAAGUGCGACAAGUUCCCAUUAUGUGGACAGAUGACGAUGAAGAGGGUAUCUUAUAUCCUCAUGAAGAUGCAUUGGUGAUUAAGGCAAUGGUGGCCGGUACAGAAUUGCGACGAAUAUUAGUAGACAUAGGCAACUCGGUUGACAUCCUGUUUAAGUCGGCUCUAGAUGAUAUGGGGAUUGCAGACUUGAAACUGGAACGGACAAAUACGUCCUUGAAGGGAUUUGGAGGGGGACGGCUAACUCCCAUGGGGAUCAUUGAACUCCCGAUUACUGUGGGGACAAAGCCAUUUGAAAGAACGAUGAUACUGGACUUUGUAGUGGUAGAGGAAAGAAGUCCUUACCAGAUGAUAUUGGGGAGACCAUUCAUGAGGAUAAGCCAAUGUGUGAUGUCCACGCAUUAUCUUUCGCUGAAAUACAGAAUAAGUGGAGUCGUGGGUGUAGUAAAGGGCGAUCAGAAAAUGGCCAGGAGCUGCUAUGCUACAACGGCCAAGGAAACACUGCAGGUUACCUCUCUAGAUAACCGAGGGGAUUCAAAAAAUGGUCGCCAGGAACCUAUUGAGAACCUGGAGGGGGUUGUUGUGAGCAGGAGUGACCCGAGCAGAGUGGUCAAAGUCGGAUCGGAAUUGGGUGAAGAAAUAAAAUGCGAGCUGGUGAAGUGUCUACAGUCCCAUGCGGACAUAUUUGCCUGGUCUCAUGAGGAUAUGCCAGAUAUUGAUCGAGGGGUAGCUUGUCACAAGCUGGCAGUCAAGAAAGGGGCAAGGCCGGUGAGGCAGAAAAGGAGGUGCUUCAACCAGGAAAGGUACGAGGCCAUUAAUGCGGAGGUGGAAAAGCUGCUAAAAGCAGGAUUUAUAAGGGAAGCCAAGUACCCGGAAUGGAUUUCCAAUGUAGUACUGGUAAAGAAGGCCAAUGGGAAGUGGAGAAUGUGUGUAAAUUUCACGGACCUCAAUAAGGCAUGUCCAAAGGACAGCUUUCCCCUACCAAAAAUAGAUCAGUUGGUAGACUCAACCGCGGGUCAUAGUCUGCUCAGUUUCAUGGAUGCCUUUUCCGGAUACAACCAGAUACCCAUGGACGAGCAGGAUGAGGAAAGCACCACCUUUAUAACUAACAUGGGUUUGUUCUGUUACAUGGUGAUGCCCUUUGGCCUAAAGAAUGCAGGAGCUACCUAUCAAAGGCUAGUGAACAAGGUCUUCAAGCCAUUGAUCGGCCACACUAUGGAAGUAUACGUGGACGAUAUGAUCACCAAGUCAAGAGAACCGACAGAUCAUGUGAAGCACUUGGAAGAGACCUUCGAAUUGCUGAGGAGGUAUGAAAUGAAGCUGAACCCGGAGAAAUGUGCAUUUGGGGUCAGCUCGGGCAAAUUUUUGGGAUACCUGGUGAGCCAUCGAGGGAUUGAGGCCAACCCGGAAAAGAUACGGGCGGUGAUAGAGAUGAGGUCCCCACGAACAAUUAAGGAGGUGCAGAGCCUUACGGGAAAUUGGCAGCAUUGAACCGAUUCAUUUCGCGAGCCACUGAUAAGUGCCACCCUUUCUUCCAAAUCAUAAAGAAAUUGAGGAAGAUGGAAUGGACAUUGGAAUGUGAGGAGGCAUUUGGACAGCUGAAGGAAUACCUAGCCCGCGCCCCGUUACUAUCAACUCCGAGAGAGGGUGACCAGCUGCUUUUAUACUUAGCAAUCUCUAAGUGGGCUACCAGCUCGGUCUUAGUCAGGGAAGAAGAAGGGAAGCAACACCCGGUAUACUACACAAGCAAGGCCCUGGUAGACGCAGAAACCAGAUAUCCAUUAAUGGAGAAGUGGGCGCUGGCUCUGAUAACCGCAGCACGCAAACUCCGACCAUAUUUCCAAGCCCACCAGAUCAUUGUGAUGACUGACCAGCCCCUUCGGCAGGUGCUUCAAAAACCAGAUGCGUCUGGUCGGUUAGUAAAAUGGUCCGUGGAGCUGAGCGAAUUCGACUUAUCAUACAGGCCCCGAGGAGCAAUCAAGGCCCAAGCCCUGGCUGAUUUUAUGGUUGAUCGUGCUGGACCAAGGGAAGAGGUCCAAGAAGAGCAACCAGCAGGACAGGAGGAUCCAAAGAGGGUAUGGCUGGUGAUGGUUGAUGGGUCACGUAGUGAACAGGGAUCCGGAGCAGGAGUUAUAAUACGAAGCCCAGAAGGUGUCGAGGUGUCUUAUACAGUAAAGUUCGAGUUCCAGCUUACGAAUAACCAAGCUGAAUAUGAGGCCUUCAUUUCUGGACUCGGUUUGGCACAUGCAUUACGAGCAGAAAGGGUUGAAAUCCGAGUAGAUUCCCAGCUAAUAUGUAACCAGCUCAACGACCAAUUCCAAGUAAGGGAAGAGAAGUUGGAACUUUAUUUGAAGAAGGCGAAGCAUAUGGUUAGGCUUUUCCAGGAGGUGGAGGUAAAGCAGAUAUCUCGAAAUGAGAAUUACCGAGCGGACAUGUUAGCUAGGAUGGCUGCAAUUGCAAAUCCGAAAUUACCUAAAUCGGUUCCACUGGAGGUAAGGACCUCGCCAAGUAUAGGGGAGGAGGCAGAGGUGAUGAGAAUAAGCACUGAAGAGUCCUAGAUAGACCCAAUUCUUGCAUAUAUCCGCGAUGGCGUUUUACCAGAGGACAAAAGGCAAGCAAGAAAGCUGAAAUGCCGAGCAGCGAGGUAUACUCUACUCGAUGAGGUACUCUACCACCGAGGAUUCACUUUGCCCCUCUUGCGAUGUGUGAAUGAUGAGGAGGCAGAUUAUGUACUAAGGGAGAUUCAUGAAGGAAUUUGCGGCAAUCAUUCGGGAGCAAGAACCUUAGCCUUCAAGGCACUCCGACAAGGGUACUUCUGGCCAACCAUGCACCAGGAUGCGAAAAAGAUGGCAAAGAAUUGCAAAACCUGCCAAAGCUUCUCAGAGGUUCCCGCACAACCCCCAGAAAAGCUGACCACUAUGACAUCCCCAUGGCCUUUUGCUCAGUGGGGAAUCGACCUGAUUGGUCCGUUACCGAAAGGCCGAGGAGCGGCAACCCAUGCAAUCGUAGCAAUAGACUACUUCACCAAGUGGAUAGAAGUGGGGGUCCUUAGCCAAAUCACGGAGAGAAGGACAACGGAUUUUAUCUGGAAGAACAUCAUCUGUAGAUACGGAAUCUCGUAUACCAUUAUCACCGAUAAUAGGAGGCAAUUUGACAACAACAACUUCAGAGAGUUUUGCCGGAACUUAGGGGUGGACCUGAAAUUCUGCACCCCCGCACACCCCCAGGCAAACGGACAAGUGGAAGCAGCCAACAAAGUGGUAAAGAAACUCCUAAAGACUAGAUUGGGAGAGAAGAAAGGAGCUUGGGUUGACGAGCUACCAGGGGUACUGUGGGCCUACCGGACAACUCACAAAACUGCCACAGGGGAGACCCCGUUUGCCUUAGCUUUUGGUCACGAGGCGGUAGUCCCAGCAGAAAUUGGAGUGGGAACACAUCGGACGGAAUACUUCAAUGAGGAGUAAAAUGACGAGCAGAUCUGCUUGAGCCUGGGCCUGCUGGAGGAGAAAAGGAAAGGGGCUUCGCAGAAAGUGGCUCAGUAUCAGCAAAGGGUCACGCGUUAUUACAACAAGAACGUACGUGUGAGGCAGUUCCGAACAAGAGAUUGGGUGCUCAGGAAGGUGAACCAAAAUACCAAGGAUCCUAACCAUGGAGCUCUUGGUCCGAAAUGGGAAGGCCCGUACAGGGUGAUACGAGCAACUGGUCCGGGAGCCUACAAGCUGGCGUAUCCAGACGGACGAGAGGUGAAGAGGUCAUAGAACGCCGAGCACCUGAAAAAGUACUUCCAGUAAGCAAAGUGCCCUACUAGUUUUCAUUCUGAUAAGUUAUUUCUGUUAUGAACACAGUGAUUUAUGACACACACAUAUGUCCUACAUUUCUGUAACGCAUUCAAAAUUCAAUAAAGAUGAAUUCAGUAUGGAACCUUUCUGCUAGCAAGCACAUUAAAUGCUUACUAAGGCAACAGAGUGCCUGUUUCUGCUCGGUCAACGAAAGACCAGCAGCUAAAGCUUCGUAAAUUCUACUAAGGCAACAUAGUGCCUGUUUCUGCUCGGUCAACGAAAGACCAGUAGGUAAAGCUUCGAAAAUUCUACUAAGGCAACAGCUUGCCUAUUUCUGCUCGGUCAACGAAAGACCAGCAGCUAAAGCUUCGAAUAUUAUACUAAGGCGAGUAAAUGCUUACUCCUACUCGGUCACCGAAGACCAGCAGGCAAUUUUGCGAAAAUUUUACUAAGGUAAACGAAUGUCUAUUCCUGUUCGAUGCACUAAAAAACCAAACAGGAAAACCAAUAGAGAGCAUUCAAAAAAUUUUUUUAUAAAUGUUUAAAUUGUUUACAAAACAAACGCAAAUCUAGAGCUUAUACAAAAAAUAGGCCUAAAGGUUAGGAGAAUCAACGGCUCCAGCAGCUGAAGGAUCAGCGAGCUUGGGAAGUGAGGGAUCAGCAACAUCAGGAGGUGGAAGAUCAGCAAUGCCGAGAGGAGGAGGCAUGGACCCUUGACCCACUUCGAGAGUGCAUCCCCCAGCUUCCCCCUCUUGCACACCAUUCGAAGGAGCCUCCACCUGAUCCUGCCCGCCCUGCUCCUUAUCACCCUGGUCGACCUCAGCCAUGUACCUCUCCACUCCAGCCUCCAGCUUGCUCAUGUCCAGCUCGGGAUAUUCUUCCUUAAGCACAGACAUUAUGCACUUAUAGGAGAAGGCAACCCCAGAGUCAUACUCGGCAUCCAGCCGAUCAUCCACGUCAGCGGAUUUGCCUUUCUCCUAGCCAGCUACUCACCCAAGGAUUUGAUUUCCCCCUCAAGGGCGGCCCUCAGAGUAUCCCUUUCAAUUUGAGUAGCAUGGAGAUCAGACCUCAGGUCACCCAGCUCACCCUCGAGUUUGGAGGAAGUGGAUUCAGCAACCGCAACUCUCUCCUCUAGCUCCAUAAUUUGCUUGUUCAGCUCAGCCAGCUUCUCCUUGGAGCGAUUAGCAGAUUCAGCUUUCUUCUUCAAUUCCUGAUUGUCAGCUUGGAGUUUCUUCUUAUGGCGCGCGGACCCAAUCUUGUAGCACGAAACCAUGGUGGCCAACCUGAAGAACACUCUGUGAACGGUAGCAGCUAAUUCAGAGAGGUUCAUACUCUCGAUGUCCUUCACCAUCUUGGGCCCCACCACUUUUUUGUAAUCCUUCUGAUACGGGCUCAGGUAGUCCACUUGAUCCCGAGAUAGUAGAGGAGAAGAGCGGUCCCCAAACUGCAAGCUGACCUCAGGACUCUUGUCGGAGAUUUUCUCCCCAACACUCUUACGAGGUGGAGGUGGGGGCAGAGCAGGAACAGGCGUCUUGGAAGGACCAACGCUAGGUUUCUUCGGGGGAGGAGGAGGGUUGCUGGAGCUGCUCGAAGCCCGACCACGCUUUCUGGUCAUAGCACUGAGAAUCUUGCUAUCCAUCCCGGCGGCUAUAUCCACUAAGCCCGAGCCGACCAAACUUGUUGGUGACAGGAGGUCUUGGCAGGUAGACGCGUUCAAUAGAGCCAUUUCCACCUGAAGCAAAGGCCGAUCUUCAAGCCCCCCGAUCAGACCCCACGACUCUGAAAUAGCACAAAAGGUUAAAGAACCCAAUAAGUAGCAGUCUAAUUAAGAAUAUAGGCAAAAAUGAACGACCUGGGGUGACAAAAUGGGUGGGAAGAUAAAUGUCCCCACCAAGCGACCGAACUGCUGGACACCAGUUCCCUCCAGCAAAGAAGAAUUUGUUCUUCCAAUUUUUACAUGAAGAUAGAAACCCAGUGAUCGGUUUCCUCUUGGCAGAACUGGACAUAAAAUAAUACCAGCCUGCCUCCUUUGGGCUACUCCGCAGCUGAUACAGAUGUUUCACUUCGACAAGAGAAGGCUCCUCCGACCCACACCUCUCCCACAACACAAACAUCGCCGAGAGAACCCUCCACCCAUUUGGGUGUAGCUGACCUGGGGCUAGGUGCAUACCGCCCAGUAUCUUGGCAAAGUAAGGUUGAAGGGGCAGCCGAGCUCCUAGUCUGAAACUCUCCAAGUGCAUCGUCACAUACCCUUUCGGAGGCCGACUAGGGACAUCGCCUUUUCCAGGAACUACAAGAAGAACCUCGCUGGGGAUGUUGUAGAGGUUCCUAAGUUUAAAUAGGUCAGUGGGGGUGGUGGCACAAGCCAUGAAAUCAAUAGGGUAGGAAUCAGCCUCCACCCUAUAGCCUAGGUUCUUUCUCUGAGCAGAUCGGAUCGGUCCGGAACUGCUCCCCUCACCAUCGCCAACUCCUUCAGAGAUCCCAAUCCCACCAAAGCUGUGGUUCUCACCAGAGCCCGACGCGGGUCCACCUCUAUUUUUUACAAGCGCUAGUUCGGGGGAGGAAGAGACAACCAGAGGGCGUGGAUACUCAAGGGUAUCCCUGCCAUCGGAAGGACCUACACUACUGGAGGGACCCAAGAAAUCGGUGGGUAUUGGCACGUUGAGGCAUGAAUCCCCUGAUUCUUCAUCACCCUCAUCAACAAUUAACUUUCUUUUCCGGUUUGACAUAUCGGAAUCUCAAAAGAAAAACCAAAACAAACCCAAGUACACGAAUACAAAAAGGGGCAACACAGAACCCAAUCAACAACAGCCAAAGAAAAGGUUAAAGGCUAUACCUGGAACAGACGGACAUAGAUAGCGCUGCCGUGACAGAGAAAACACCCAGCAAAUGGAUACUCCGGACGCUGGGAGUAUGAGCAAAGUUCAGAGAAAAUUUGGUUAACGGCGGAGGAACGAGUAACAAGAUGAUGAUGACUCCAGUCUAGGGAUUUGAAACGAAAAGGGGGAAAUGAAAGCAUUAAAGUGAUGGAGACGCACCGUACAUCGAGGACAGAUAGCCCGUCAUUUCAAAUUUCAAAAUAUGAAGAGUCUGCGGAUGCCACGUCACCAACUGUUACAAGAGGCCAGGCUAGAUGCAAGCCCAGAUACGCAAUGGACAUGCUCAUUUAGGCCCAUGCUCAGGUCAAAACCUCCCCUCAAGAAAAGAAAUCCUCAGGUCCGUCCCUGUAAAUAGAAAACCAGAGGAGAAGCCCCCGGAUUGGCAAGAUUUGACAAUCAGUUUCUACUCUUGACUCAUUUCACUCACAAGACCAGAAACUGGGGGACUGGUGUUAAGUAAAUAAAAGCACCAGGUCGGUCAUGCUACUAUUUCCACCCCGGCAUGAAUCACCUCAGCCAAAUGGUAUGAGCAGAGCAGGGGCAACAUGAGCCGAGCCGAGACGAAUGCUGACCAGAGGUAUAUACCGAGCCGGUACCCGUACCCCAAAAAGUGGAAACACGAUCUCACAGAAUCGCGGCAGUUGCGCUUUCCCAGAACCGUUGCAGGAGAUGCGAGAUCCCACGUUUGCCCAUGAUGCAGCAGUUAGAGUCCCAUGAGGGGCUGCCACUACCCGAAAAAGGUGGGACGAAGGGCAAACGGGAACGUGGGGACAGCGGCUAUAAAAGAAGAAGAAAUCGACGAAGAAGGGGACAGAAAAACUGGAAAGAGGGAAAACGCUGCCAAAUUGCAACCAGGCCAUUUCCUUACAAAUUUCUAACAAACAUCUUAAAUCCAAAUUACACUGUUUUCCCGUAAACACCUUGUGCUAACUUAGGCAUCGGAGGAUUUACGCCGGCAAAACCACCGGCGUCUCUGAUCCGUUUUCGAUGAACGCAGGUCUAGUGAGAGAAAGGAGGGUGAUUCCAGCCUUAGCGGUUCGUGCAGCAGUCGAUAACUUAAACGUUGGUGAAAGAAUCUGGUCGGUCUAAGGACGAGCAGAUUUCGGCAUCAACAAUCAAUAUCAUUAAAAUUACAAGAUAAUCUAUAAAAUGAAGCAAAAGUAGAGCUUUAUAGUUUAACAAAUUCAUAAAAAUCUCAUAGUAUAAGUCAUCAAAAAAAUUAUCAUUUUCAAUAUUCAAGCGUUUAUAUUAGCUAUUAUUACGAUAUCUUUCAUUUACAUCCAUUUUUAGAAGAAAUAAAAUAUAAAAAAUUAAAAAUUAAAAAUUAAAAAUUAGAAUGGGAAAAUGGGAGGGGAUUGAGAUUUCACCAAAUCCCUGUCCCCUGCCCAAAUAAGAUAUUUGGAAAUAAAUUAUUCAUGUCUCAUUCUCAAAUAAGAAAUUAGGUAUAAAAUUAUCCUUAUACCCUCCUUAAAUGAGAAAAAUCUCUUUGGACUCCGUUCUCGUGGGGAUUUCUAUCAUCCCUAACUAAACAGAUUAAAUUAUUUAUAUUUUAUUGCUUGUAUUUAUUGAAAUUUUAAAAUUAAUUUUUUUAAAUUACUAAUUCAAAGAGUUUUAUGGUCAAACGGAGGCUUUGAUAUCCCUUACUGAAAAUUUAAGAGCCUCAUCCUCAAAUAAGAAAUUAGGUAUCUCCUCAAAUGAGAAAAAUUUCUUCAAACCCCGUCCUCGUGGGGAUUUCUAUCAUCCCUAACUAAACAGAUUAAAUUAUUUAUAUUGUAUUGCUUGUAUUUAUUGAAAUUUUAAAUUUAAUUUUUUAAAAUUACUAAUUCAAAGAGUUUUAUGGUCAAAAGGAGGCUUGAUAUCCAUUACUGAAAAUUUAAGAGCCUCAUCCUCAAAUAAGAAACUAUGUAUCUCCUCAAAUGAGAAAAAUCUCUUCAAACCCCAUCCUCGUGGGGAUUUUUAUCAUCCCUAACUAAACAGACUAAAUUAUUUAUAUUUUAUUGCUCAUUUAUUAAAAUUUUAAAUUUAAUUUUUUAAAUUACUAAUUCAAAGGAUUUUAUGGUCGAAAGGAGGUUUGAUAUACCUUACUAAAAAUUUAAGAGUCUCUAUAACCAUUUUCUCAAACUUUAAGGGUCUAACUGUGCUUUUCCCUUUAAAUUUUUUUAAAUUCUUCUCAUCAACACUUUUUGUCAACGGACCACACCAACCAUGUAUUCGUCCGCGUUAAUUUAAUUUAAUUGAUGACAAACACAAAUUGUUGAAUAAAAAGUGAUUGAUCACGUCUAUUGAAAACAAUAACUAUUUUAGAAUCAUUAUAUCAAGAGGUAUUAAAGUCAAAAGAGAGUUUGAAAUAUCGUAUAAAAAAUUUAGGAUUAUGCGAUCAUUUUUUUAAAUCUUGAGAGUGCAACUGUACUUUUUCUUUUUAAAAUUUUAAAAAAAAAUUUCUCAUCAACGACUUUUUGUUAAUUAAAAAAAAAUAAUAUGCAAUAUUUUCAAUAGUCAACGAACAAUACCAACUACGUAUUUGUUCGAGUUAACUUGAGUUAUAUUAUCUGCUAUAGGCUAUAUAAAGACAGUUCUAUGUUUGGUGAAUCUUUAUAAUAAUUUUAUUUUGAACGAAUGUAGCCGUAAAUUAAAAUAUUUUAAAAUGACUUUAGAGAUCUGUCUAACUAACGUGACAAACGUAUAUUAAUUACAUUUUUCUUUUUUAUAUACUCCUCUCUGGAAUUGUGAAGAAGGGAGUCAGCAGGGCAACUAUGAGCUGCCUGAUUAAUUUUUUGUCGCUAAAGAGAAAGUAAUACUUUCUUUUCAAGAUUGGGAAAAAUGCCAUUUAUUCCCCCACUGUUUUUAAAUUUUACCAUUUAGUUCUUACUGUUAGCCUUUAAAGUUUUUAGAAAUAUGCGAUUGUGAGCUUGAUGUCUAAAUUAUCUAUUAAAAAACUCAUCAUAUGCACAAAUUAGCGAUCACUUAUUUUUAAUCGAUUUUUGUAAGUGUUACUGGCGAUGGUACAAGAGGCAUGGGCUCAAAUUUUCCUCACAUGGGUAUGGAUCGCAAAAAGAUCAUAAAUAUCUUUCCCAUUCAACAGCAUUACAAGCCAAAAUCAAGGCAUAUAUAUAUGUUGCAAGUAUCAUUGCUAUUAAUAUGACAUGUAUAUCUUUCAAGUAUCAUUGCUAAUUUGGUAUCAAAUAAUAGUAGAAAUCUUCUUCUCAAAAAAAUAAUAAUAAUAAUAGUAGAAAUCCUCAAUGAUAAUGAAUGAAUAUGUUCCUUUUAUGUAAUUUAUAGUCUUGCAUAAACUGGGCUUUUCAGCGCAUCAAUUGAAUAAGACUGUAUUUUACCUUUUUUACCCCGUAUAAUUCUCAAAAAAUUUCACCUUCGUGCACUGUCCUUCGAGUUGAAAAAAUGAUAAACUUUUGAAGCUAAGAUGACGGAAUAUUGUCUUAGAUGAGCUUAUGGGAUAAACAGUCCUUCCAGUUGGCAAGGGGUUGCCAUGACAAGCCCAGCCCAGCCUUGCACAACCCUAACAAAAUUUUAAAUUACAUUAAAAAACCUUCACAACUAGGUACGUCAUCCAGAAUUUUUUUUUUUUAAUAUAAAUUGUUCGACCACUGUACUUCUGAUUAGGUAUAUGAAUUGUUUGACCAUAAAAAAAAAAUUACUUAUUUAGCUCAUUUUCGAUCCUUUCAAACAUUUGACAGAUUUCUCUAUAUUCAAAAACCUCUUUAAAUUCAACAAUUUCAAUAUUCAAAAAAGCAUAAAAGAACUCAAAAUUCAAUCAAUCUUUAACUAUAUAUUAUUUCAGCAAUAAUCAAUAAGAUUCUAAGAAAUUUUAAAAAAGAAAAAUAGUCAAGAAAAUAUCCUUUUUACUUCCUUUAAAAUCAUUAUUUCAAGAAAAUAUUUUUUUCUUCAAAAGUUAGCCAAUAAAUGUUAUAAACUAAUAAAUUUCUUCAUAUCAAAUAAUAUCAAAUAUUUUUAAGUUUUUAAUAUCAAAUAAUUCAGUUUUUUUUUUCUUAAAUCGAAAGAUAAAUGAUUUAAUUUUUUCUUGAAAACUAAUGAUGAAUGAACUAAUGGCUAGAUAAUAUUAUUAAUUAUAGUUUUUAACAUUAUGACUAUUAAAUUUAUAAAGAGCUUGUAUAAAAAAAAAUUAAUUCUAGGGUAAUUAUUUAUUUGAGAGAAGUAAAAAAAUAGGUUUUUUUUAAUGAGAUUCUAAGCAAUUGCUUGAUUCUCUUACGCUUAAACUGCCAAUGAAUCUCAUAUUUGAAACGCAUUGUUGUUGGGGCAGGGAAAGUUAUACAAAAUAUAUAAAUGUUUGGGAUAGAGCUAAAAGAUAAAAUAUUAAAGUGUUUGAUAAACACUAGCUGCUGUAAAUUGGAAGGUAUGUUUAUAUAAUGUUUCACUUAUAUAAUGGAAAAUCAAUUAUAUCUUUAAUAAUUUUAUCAAAAUUUUUAUUUACUAUAUAUUAUUAACUUUUUUUUUAUAAUUAUAAUUUUUUUCAUAACAAUUGUAGUUUAAAAAUUAGAACACCUCAGUUCUAAAAAGAACCUUAGUGUACUAGUGAAAAUUAUUCGUGACCCAUAUCUUUAAUUUUUUGUUCAUAGCAAUCCCAAUUUACUUUUGGUGGCGAUAGUUUAAGGCAAUAAGCCGAACUCAUUUUCAUGAUAAAGACAGGCCUUAAGAUUGUUGGGAAAUGGGUGAUCAAAACUUCAAUAAAAUAGAAAGCCCAGCAAGCCAACAAACAUCAACCCAAACGAACAACAAAUUGCGUAAUCUAGAGAAGUUUGGAAUCGCAGGCCGAAGUGAAUUCUUCCACUCAAGUUACACAAAAUGCAUGUGCUUUCAUGUCAGCUGUGUUGGGCUUCGAAACAUUUUACUAACCGUCUUAACCUAGUAUGUGAUGAGAUGGAUCAUGUUCGUGUCCAUUCAUAAAAUAAGCCAUCGACUAAAUGCUUAAUUUUUGAGUAGUGCGAUUGACACCACUCUUUAAUAGUUUAAUAUUAUAAAAUCCCUCUUUUCGGCAAUUACAAUAAAGGACACUGAGACACUAUGGAUGGCAAAUUGAUGGUCGGUUGGGCUUUUCCAAGCCCAGCCCCUCUAAAAAAAAACUGCCUGAGUUCAGAUAGGCUAAGCAUGGAUCAGGCUUAUUGUAGGCUUGAAAUGGUUGCAAAUUGAUGAACAAAAGGUAAUUAAGUGAAAAAUGUCAAAGACAGAAAGUUUAAAUAAUAGCAUUAUAUAACAAAGCAACUCUAUGUUCAUUUAUCUGGAAAUUGAAUGCAAACUGUGGAAUAAGCAUCUUUACGAGAUAUAGGGGGCUGUUGAGGUGGACAAAAUCGGUGCAAAUCAUGGGUGUGCAUGAGUGUGAAAGUGUGCAUGCGUGAGUUUAUUGUUAUAAUUUUAAGAUUUUUGAGUCAUCAUUAAUUUUAGGAAUUAGGGAUUUACGAUUUUUUAAUUUUUCUAUUAAUUUUUUAAUUCUUUAGAUUUUAAUUUAUAAAUUUAAAUUCAGUUAUUUAAUAUAUAUAUAUAUAUAGAGAGAGAGAGAGAGAGGGGGGGGCUAGCUUGAGUUUUUUUCUUCUUAAGUCUUUAUCCAGAACCUGAUAUGAAGGGUCGGCCCGAUCCAGACCUUUUUACCAACCCUAGGUAACAUUCCCGCACUAAAAUCCACGAGUACUAUUCAGUCAUUUACUUCAAUCCAAUGUUACGUGUGGACACGGCUACCAUGCAGGGCAUAAAAUCCCUGUAUGGUACAGGGGCUGCCCUUGAUCCGUUGGAUUCAGCUUAUUUGAAUCCAAUGGUUGGGGUUUUAGUUUGAAAAAAAAAAGAAAAAAUGAAUAAAAGCAAAAAAAAAUAUGGCAACCGGUUCAAAGGGGGUAGUUACAGUACGUAAAAAAUUACCGUUGGAUUGAAUAGAGUGGAUCCAAUGGCUGAGAUUUGUUUUAUUAUUCAAUAAUUAAAAAAUUUUGAAAAAACAAACCUGUAAAAUUGAAAUAAACAAAAAAAAAACCCACCACUCACUCACUCACCUCACCCUCACCACUCCCUCACCUCUCCCUCACCUCACACACGUCAAACACCUCACCACUCCUCACCUCACACACGCCUCACCACGGCCAUCAACGGCGGCAGCUGAAGGAGUUCCUAGGCAACGAUCAACGGUGGCACAAGGACGGGCUGAUCUCCGCCGUCGGCAACGAUCAACGAAGGCAGAAGGAUGGGCUGAUGUUCUUCGUUGACAAUGAUCAACGGCGGCACAAGCACAACCCUGUUCCUCGUGCAAUCCAUCUCCAACACUAGAAUAGCUGUCGUCAAGGGCUUCGGUGGGACGCCACAACUAUUGCUCAACCACCUCUGCCCUGCUACUGUACCCUCUCCUCACCGCACGACAUCAGAACUAUUGUUCUAGCUUCGCCCCACAUUCUCUUUACCGCCAGAAUCAUCAAGCAAAACGUUAGUAUUAGAUUAGAUUUUCUGAAUUAAUUUAUAAUUAGGGUUUGAUUUGAACUGUAUCAAGGUUAGAUUUGAAUGAUUGAUUUGGGUUUGAUUUUAAUUGUUGAUUUGGGUAUGAAUUAAAUUUUUUAUUGAUUUAUAGUGUUGGUUUAUGUCUUUCCCUUCUCAAGCUUUUGGGCAACAGUGCAUGGAUCAACAGCAACAAAGAGCAGGGGCUACACAGGCACAGCCUCGGCUUCAGCCUUAGCCUCAACCUGGCGAUUUAUCUGCUAUACUCGGUGUAUUCCUCACUUCCAUUGCUAUUGUCUCACUGGCAAAUUCUCUCUUAUAUCCUAAUUCGUGCUUUUACGCAUAUUUAGUCACUUUCAAUCUGGUUUAUCAGUUAAUGGUGACUUAAAUCUUCUUUUUUUAAUUGUUUGAGUUGAAUCUUGUAGCUCUGUAAAUAUUAAGUGUUGGGUUCUCAUCUGAAUAAAGGGCUUUCCUUGGAGUGAAAUAGUGAAAUGAACAACGAUUUCAAUUGACUAGUUGUAAAGUUUAAUUCUUUCCUAAAAUGACCAGUUCAACAAUAUUAUCAUGGGCAGUGUUUUUACCCAGAUUUUGCUUGGUUGCUUGCCUACUAGUGUGAACACUUUAUUGCUUUGAAAACUCAUUUGCUAUAUUAAUGCUUUGGUGGUAAGUUUCUUGUAUGUAUAUCUGUAGUUAUAUUAUUUUGAUUAAAAUUUUCUAUAUUUAACUCUGAAACUGACUUGCUGGAUUUAAGUAAUAAUUAGUUAUUUUAGUGAAAGUUUGAGCAUUUGUGUAGGUAUGAAAGUAAUAUUAAGUUCAUUUUGAACAAUAGGUUGUUUUGAUGAAUAUAGCUUUUGAAUGAAUUUUCAGAUGAUGUCAAUGCCGAACAAUAGAUUGUCAUUGCUUCCUGGAAGAAUAGACCAAUCAAGUUACCCUUGUCGUACCUGGAAAUUAUUGGGAGGGGGCAGAAUCUGUUGGAUGAUGAACUUUGCUGCGGCUUUGUUGCAAUUUUGUUGGCUGCAGAAUUUUAGGCUUGGCUUCAGUAAAUAUAGGUUGAUAUUUGCAAGGCAACUUUUAUACGGCUUAUGUAAAAUUUUUUUCUUUUUCCAUUUACAUUGCUGGGUUUCGUUGUAGUUGCUGAGCAAGUGAGAGAACACAUUCAAUUUUAUACAACAAUUAUAAGUAUUGACCAUGAGACAAGAUACUGGAAAAUUGUUGUGUUAUUACCCCUCAAUGGUAAAAUGAUUGCAAUUGGUAUGGUGAUCACAAUUGAUGAUUUUGAAUGAAACCAUAUGUUUUAAUUAUUUAUUUAUCUUGUUAUUUAUUUUAAUAAAGCUUAGUUUAUUUCAUUUGCAUGGAUGUUUAUUUCACAAGAUACUUAUUUGAAAAAUGUCAAAAAAAAAUGUUAUAUUGCUAAAAAAAUAAAUACGUUGUUAAUAAGCUGUGUUGGGCUUUUACUUUAAAACUACUUACCUUUCUUUCUUUUUUUAUUUGCCGUAAAUUUAUGCAAUAUAUCAAUCCACUUUUUUUUCGGAGAUGGUGCUUGUAAUAAGGUUGGAUGAUGCACUUGGUGUAAUGUACUAGAUUUUGGUGGAUUUUUAGGAUGAUAUGUAGAAAAUAUUAUGUUUGACAUAGGAAUAGUUAAUUUGAUUUAUUUUCAUAAAAUUGUGUUUCCUAUAAUUAGUUAAAAUAAAAUAAAAAUAAAUUGAUUAAAUUGAUUUAGCGGAAUGGGGAAAUAAGCCUAUAAAUUUGUAUGAGAAUUAAUAGAAUUAAAACUGGUUGUAAUGUAAGGUUAUUUAUAGUGGAGAUUUUGGCUAUAAAAAGCGCCGGCAAAAUAUAAGAGUUCUUCUGAAUUUAAAAGUAAAUUUGGAUUGGAAUAUUAUUAUUUUGUUAGUUACCUUUAUUCAUAAUACAAAUACUUCGAAAGUGGUUAUAUUUGUAAAAAAUUAGAAGAAAAAUGUUAACAAAAUAAUAUUAUUGAAUGUCUAAAACGAACACUUGUAGUCUAAGGUAUGACCAUUGAAAGAUUAAAAUCGGUGUACAAAAUUCAAGUGAAACAGUUAGAUUUAAGACUAAAUAAAUAGUAUUCGUACAAUGAGUGUUGUUAAAUCUCUUAAUAUUCUUCUAAUGCUUAUGUUAAAGUCACUUUACAAAAUGGUGGAUUAAAAAUUUUCGGGUGUUUGGAAAAUAAUUAUCUAAAACAUUGAAUAGUAAAUUUAAAACACAUUACUUAAAAUAUGUAACAAUGAGUACCUCCGUAACAAUGAACAUAAACAUCAAAUAUGAAACUUCGAACUUAAAACAUAAAACAUGAACCAUAAACAUGCAAAAUAGAAAAAUUUUAAGGUAUUUAAAAAUUAUUACAUAAAACAUUGAACAAUAAAUAUGAAACACGUUACUUAAAAUAUGCAACAACGAACAUAAAAUAUGAGUACCUCCGUAAUAGUGAACAUUAAACAUAAAACAUGAAACAUAGAACAGCAAACAUGAAAUACAGAACGUAAACAUGAAACGGAAGCAAAAAAGAAAAAUUUCGGGGUAUUUGAAAAAUUAUUACAUGAAACAUUGCACAACCAACGUGAAACAGAUCACUUAAAAUAUGCAACAACAAACAUAAAAUAUGAGUCCCUCCGUAACAGUGAACAUGAAACAUAAAACGUCAAACAUGAAACAUAGAACGUAAACAUGAAACGGGGGCAAAAAAGAAAAAUUUCGGGGUAUUUAAAAAAUCAGUACAUGAAACAUUGGACAACCAACAUUAAACAGAUCACUUAAAAUAUGCAAUAACGAACAUAAAAUAUGAGUCCUUCCGUAACAGUGAACAUAAAACAUGAAACAUGAAACAUAAAAUAUAGAAUAUCAAACAUGAAACUUGAACGUAAACAUGAAACGGGGUAAAAAAGAAAAAUCUUGGGGUAUUUAGAAAAUCAGUACAUGAAACAUAAAACAUAAAAUAUGAAACUUAAAAUGUUAAACAUGAGAUAGAUUUUAUAAAAAAUAAUAAAAUUUUUGUCUUUUUGUUAACACACAUUUUAUUUUAUUUUUUAAAAUAUUUAUAAUAAAAAAUAUUUUUUCUAUUUUUACUUUACUUGUCCUUUUCUACUUCUUAUUAUUAUUAUUUUUUAAAUAUUAUUCGUUUUAAAUAUUUUUUAUUUUAAUUUAUUUAAAUAAAAAAAAUACAUAUUAAUGGCAGCAACCGGCUGGAAAACCGGUUGCUGCCAGUAAUAAAAGUUGUUUGGCAACAACAAAGGGGUCAAUAAAUUGACCCCCUCUAUGAUACAGGGACUUUGAGUCCCUGUAUCACAGCCGUGUCCUUAUCGUGUUCAUUUGCAUGUAAUGUUCUAUUCUUAAUCAAGUCCUUAUAGUCAUAAAAAAAAUUGUAAGAAAAUAUAGACUUGGAGAUUGCUUCUAAUUCCUAAUUUAGAGUAUACUGGACCGAAACAAUGAUUUGGCAUUUAAGAUUUUAAUCACAAAGAAACAUGUGUUUUCUGAUUAUUAUUUUUUUUUUGAGGGAGAAAAAUGAUAUUUAGAAGAAGGAUAAUUUAUUUUUUGAAUUAAAAAACCAGUGUUAAUAGCAAUAAUUUUUUGAAAUUAGAUAAUGGGGUGUACAAAAGGUGGGAUUUUAAGAGGAUAUCAGAGUGAGAAUAGCACCACUCUCAUAGCUCUAUUUCAAAUCUGGUACUGAAAAUUGGUGUCUCGAAUGUUAACAUAAAAGUGGUCGGGUGCUACACUUCUCAAUUCUUAGGUGUUUUUGUGACGUUUCUUGAAAUCUUAGUAUUUACUUAAAUUUUAGUGAAAAAUUAGGCGGUUACGUGAAUUUUUUUUAUUUAAAAAAGGUAUAGUUUUGCAUGUAAGUAACCAAUUUACCCUUGUGAUACGUUGUAAUGGUGGUUAUUGUAAAAAUAAUUAAGUAAUACAUCUGUCAAAUAAUAGGCGGCUUUGUGUCAUUUCUGCCAACCUUUGUGUUUUUUUCUUGACCAAAAGUUUGGUUGUCAUACGAUAAUUUCCCAUAAGCGAAUAAACACCUGGGAAAAGGACAUUCAACCCUUCAACGUUUAAGAAAAGGGACAAAAAAUCCCUCAACGUUUCAAAAAGGAUUUAUAACCCCCUUUCCAUUAACAAACACCGUUUGUUUUAACAGUAAAUUUAUUUUUAAUUUUUAAUUACUAUUAUACCCUUAUAAUAAAUAAAUUAAUAUAUUAAUUUAAGAUAUAUCACAAUUAACAACUGUCAUCUAGCUAGCGUGGGGCCGUGGGUUGGAAUCGUUCUUUUAUGUUUUGACCAAAUCAAUAAAGUAUGGUUUUAAAAAAAAACUCUCGAUUCCUUAAUCAAAUGUACAAUAAAUAUUAACUAAUUCACUAGCACUCAUCUCAAACCAAAAUAAACUAAUAAAAAAAUCAUUAAUUUUCAGCACCAAAACGAAGUAUCAUGACAAACAAGAAACAACCCAGCCACCUACAUACCCAAAACCCCAAAAAUCCAAAACUUAUACACCAAGAAGCCCAAAAAAAGCCGUAUAAUUCAGGUUCAAUGUUUGAACAUAGAUUCUUUUCAUGAUAAUGAAAUCAUUUAUAUUUAUUUUUAUAAUAAAAAAUUACAAAAAGAUAAAAAAGAAAAUUAGCAACUGCAGUUCGAUGAACAUGGAUACUAACCAAAACUUCUUUCAAAGAACAGGUUGAACUUUAUCUUUCACUAUAAGUGUCGCCAUCAAGUCAAUCUAAUGUAAUGGUUUUGAUUCCUCAAAGAAAAAGGGUUUAAUCAAAUUUUAUUUUAUUAGUAAUAAUCACAUAUGAAAGGUUUGAUCAUUAGAAAUGUAUAAUUUAUAGCAAAUAAUUUGGGUAAAAAUGUAAUUAUAUCUCAAUUUUUAGUUUUAAAAAAAUUAUUAAUUGUGACAUGUCUGAAAUCAAUAUAUUAAUUUAUAUUUAUUAUAAGGGUAUAAUAGUAAUUAAAAAUUAAAAAUAAAUUUACUGUUAAAACAAACGGUUUGUUAAUGGAAAGGGGGUUAUAAGUCCUUUUUGAAACGUUGAGGAGUUUUUUAUCCAUUUUCCUAAACGUUGGGGGGUUGAAUGUCCUUUUCCCUAAACACCUACUAAACCACAAUAUUUUGUUUUAAAAUCGAUUGCAAGUUGACAACGGAUUUAGGUACUUAAUCUAAAAGAUUAGUAUUUCGGACGUAGUGAGAAUCUAAAUAAAUUCCUUUAAUUGAUUAAUGUGAAAUACAACUCCAUACACACACACACACACGCACAUGUAGGAAAAUUUUCCAAUCGGAAAUCUUGUUUACAACAUUAAUCAAGGCCACAAGAGUUGCUCAACCUUUUCACAAUUUAUGUAAUUGUCUUGGACCUCUCUUAAAAUCAAAGCUGAUGUAGGACAUUAUUUUAGAAUUCUAGAAUUUUUAUUAUUUUAGAAUUUUCUAUUCUAAUUAGAGUCAAUAAUUUUAUGUGUUUUAGUCCUUUAUUUCUAUGAUAAUUAUGAUUUAGUUUCCCUUUUAAAAUUAACUUAGAGAAAUAUAUUUAUUUUAUUAUAAAUAGAGAGGUAUUGUCAUUGUUUUCAUAACUUUAGCAUCAAUUAUUCAAUAAAACUGUUUUAUAAUUCCAUUUGGAAUUAUCUAUCAAAAUCUCUCUUGUAGAGUCAUUUGGAUUAGAGCGUCAUCUAAUCUCGUUUCAUGUUUAAUUAAAAAUCUCAUUGAGUUGUUUGGAUUAGAACGAGAUCUAAGCACGCUUCAAUUAGUGUAUAAAUUAAUCGCGUUGACUUAGUCCUAUCUAGAACGAUACCUAGUGUUUCCUACUAUAUCAAUUUGCUUCUGCUACACCGCUCCAUCAUUUGGUAUAAGAGGACAACACCUUUUCAUAGAGUGACUAGUAAGAUCAAGUAAAAGAUAAAGCAUGGAGAAUUUUGAGUUUCAAGAUUGAUUGAUGAGUAAGGUUGCAAGUUCAAUCUCAAAGAUGCAUUGAUACUCUACUACAAGUUCUAUCCUCCAGAUAACUCGAGGACGAGUUUCCUUUUAAGAGAGGGGGAAUGACUUAGAAUGUUAUUUUAAGAUUCUAGAAUUUUAUUAUUUUGGGAUUUUCUAUUUUAAUUAAAGUCAAUUAUGGUAUGUGUUUAGUAUUUUAUUUCUAUUAUAAUUAUGAUUUAUUUUACCUUUUAAAGUCAACUUAGGAAAGUAGGUUCACUCUAUUAUAAAUAAAGAGGUCUAAUUAUUGUUUUCAUAACUUCAGCUUCAAUUAUUUGAUAAAACUCCUUUUUAUAAUUUCCUUUAGGAUUAUCUAUCAAAAUAUCUCUUAUAGAGUCGUUUGGAUUAGAAUGACAUCUAAUUAUAUUUCGAUUAAAUCAUAAUUAAUUGUGUUGGCUCUGGCCAGUGCUAGAAAAAUAUCUAGUACCCAUCUGCCCUAUCAAUUUCGCUUCUGCUACCAUGUUCCAUCAAAGGCCCCAUCUUAAUAUUCUUUCCUACUAAAAACUAUUUUAUAUUUACUUUAUUGUUUAAAAAGUAAAAAAUCCGUUAAUAAUUUUGUAUCUAAAAACAUAAAUCUUUUAAACAUUAAUCAAUAUCAUUAUUAACUUUCACUUUGAAAAGAAAAGGUCAACUUUUGAAAUUUCGUUCAAGCCGUAAAAUUCAAUUUGAGCCGGCCCGAAACUAGGUGGCACUCGCUAUCAUUGACUGGUUGUGUUUAUACACACACACAUAUAUAUAAAGGGGUUGGCACCUCUGAUCUUAGUAACACUGCGAGAAAUGAAGCCGCAUCACUCUUUCUUUUGCCCAAAAAUUCUCCCAGUUACUUUUAUUCUUCUAUUAUCUUUUUUUGGGGAGAGUUUAGCUGAAAAUCAUGAAAAUUUUCUUAAAUGUCUUUCUCUACAAUCCGACACCAUCUCUAAAGUGAUUUACACCCAAAACAACUCUUCAUAUUCAUCAGUAUUGGAGUCUUCGAUACAAAAUCUUGUAUACUUAGCACCCACGAAACCAAAACCUCUAUUCAUCAUCACUCCAUUUCACGUAUCCGAAAUCCAAGCAACCGUUAAAUGCUCCAAAAAAUAUGGCCUACAAAUUAGAGUUCGAAGUGGAGGUCAUGAUCACGACGCUCUUUCUUCUGUUUCCUAUGUUCCAUUUAUCAUCGUCGAUUUGAUAAAUUUUAGCGAAGUCAGUGUCGAUGCAGAAGAAAAGACGGCAUGGGUUCAAUCUGGUGCUACCGUUGGCCAACUUAAUUAUAGAAUUGCUGAGAAGAGUCAAAAUCUGUUGGCCUUUCCGGUCGGAACUUGCCCUACUGUGGGCGUUGGUGGACACUUAAGUGGUGGUGGCUUUGGUCCUUUGUUGCGUAAAUACGGUGCUGCUGCAGAUCAUGUAGUUGAUGCUCACAUGAUUGAUGUCAAAGGUGAGAAAUUUUAAAGAGCAACAUCGAGAAAAUAGUAGACACUGUCAUUGUUAUUUUAGUUCUUGAGUAAAUUAUCCAAUCAUUUUCAAUAUUUUCAAAAAUUAUCUAAAACACUAUUAUAGAUUUAUUUUAUUUUAUUUUAGCCUAAUUAUAAUUCAAUCUCCCUUAACUUAUGUGAAUGGGGUUGAAAUCCAAACCUUUUUGUUUUCAAAACAAAAGAAAAAUAAUACAAUUAAUUAGAAUAAUUUUGGACGGAUUUAUAAACAAUUAUUAAUCAAUCAAUUAUUAUUAUUAUUAUUAUUAUUAUUAUUAUUAUUAUUUGUAAACCAAGGACUGAAAUUAAUUUUUAAGUUAAGAAAUAGAAAUAAUAUCAUUUGUUGACUUGUCUUCACUUCUAUCAUAUAUUGACUUGUCCUCAUUUCUAUCUUUGUAUUUGAUAAUUUUCAGGUAGAUUUCUGAAUAGAGAAUCAAUGGGAGAAGAUCUGUUUUGGGCCAUUCGCGGAGGCGGAGGAGCUAGCUUUGGAAUCAUUGUUUCAUGGAAAAUAAAUCUAGUCGCUGUUCCAUCAACUGUGACUGUAUUUGCUAUCCCAAGAACCUUGGAACAAAAUGCAACAAAGCUGCUUAACAAAUGGCAGCACAUUGCAGAUAGAGUCCAUGAAGAUUUAUUCAUCUCACCCAUCUUAUUCAGAAUGAAUUCAACCAUGGUCUCUAUAUUCACAUCCUUAUUUCUUGGUGGGAUUGAUAGGCUACUUCCAUUGAUGCAGGAGAGCUUCCCCGAGCUCGGUUUGACUAAACAAGACUGCAAAGAAAUGAGCUUCAUUGAAUCUGUCGUCUAUCUUGAUGGAUUCGGAAUUAGUGAGUCAGCUAAUGUGGAUGUAUUGCUCAGUAGGAAUUUUCCCAAAAAAUCUUUCAAAGGAAAAGCAGACUAUUUGACAGAGCCAAUUCCUGAAGAAGCUUUUCAAGGAAUUUAUGAUAUAUUUUUUGAAGAGGACGAGAAAACCAUCGGCCUUCUACAAUUUUUUCCUUAUGGUGGGAAAAUUAGUGAGAUUUCGGAGCCAGAAAUUCCAUACCCACAUAGAGCUGGCAACAUAUACACACUUCUAUACUUUGUGGACUGGGGACAAGACACAACUAAUGAAGCAUUUCAAAGGCAUGAUAAUAUGAUCAAAAAGUUGUUCAAUUAUACGACUCCCUAUGUAACCAAAAAUCCUCGAUCUGCAUAUAUUAACUACAGAGAUCUUGAUAUCGGAGCAAAUAGCAACGAAGGCCCAAUAAGUGUCGAAGAAGCCAGCGUUUGGGGCAAAAAAUAUUUCAAGAACAAUUUCUACAGGUUGGUGCAUGUGAAAACCAUGGUCGAUCCUGAUAAUUUCUUCAGAAAUGAACAAAGCAUUCCCCCUUUCCGCUUGGUGAAAGAUGAAUUGUGAGCAAGUCCAGAGCUUCCCUGUUAACAGACCUUCAUAAUUUCGCUGCAGGGUCAGACACAUAUAUCUGAUUAUUGUAAUGCUAAAUAAUUUCUGCAUUUUUAUUAUUUCUUUUUUAUAUAGAGCUUUUGCAGCGUCUUUACUACGUUCCUUGAAUACGUGUAGCUUAUCAUUUUAUUAUUAAUAAAGAUUUUCUCGCUCCGUCUAGAUUUUGCUUUCGGCGUUCUGGUGGGUCUGAGGCAUCAGGUUGUAUUGUUAAAUAAAUUCCACCUUGUUGAUUUGACAACCGAUUAAAUAUACAUUUUUUUUUUCUCUUUGUUUCCGCAAAUCAAUUUUAAACGUUAUAAUCGCUUUAUCGUCCUGAUUUUUAAUUAAUUUUAUUUCGCUAAUCAGGGAAUCUUUUAAAAUUUUCCCCAAAAAAAAUCGAUUCUUAAAGAAAAUAAAAUAUAAAAAAAUUAAUAUAACCUUUACCAACACUCUAUAAUUCCUUCUUUUAAAUUAAAAAAAAAAAUCUAACACUGGAAAUUAACAAAAGCAUCAUUCCGUUGACUUCCGACGACUUGGAGGAAGACGAAAAAUGAUAAGAAGUCAUUGUCAGGUUAAGGGUCCCAUUUUCAUAAUUUUCUUUUAGUUAGCAAGAAAACAAAACUAUGUUAACAUUGAUUUACUAAAAGUCGGUGAUGGUUACUAAUAUUAGAAAAUAAACGAAAAUGUAUAUAAAGAAUUAUUUUAAAAAAAUAACUAUGUUUUAUCUUAAACAUGGGUUCUGAGCCGAGCCCACGCUUUUUGCACAUAUUGUAUAGUAAUAUUAUAGUUAAUAUAAAUGUAAAUAUAGUAACAUAUAUAGUUAGAAUAACACACAUAGAAUUAAUAAGGAUCUCGCACUUUAUCUCAAUUUAGGCUAUUAGAUUUUUAUAUUAAAAUCUGGCCAUGAUAUGGCCCAACAUAUGCAAAUUUUAUGAGCCAAUAACUUUAAUUGAAAUUCUACACUGUUAUAAAAAGCACUCAAACAAAGACAAUUAACUGAAAGUACCAUGGGCUUUAUUCAUAAUGAGUUUGCCUUUAUACAGGCAGUACAAUAACAAACUUAACAAACCAAGUACAUAAUAACAUUACUAACACUAAACACUAAGUUUUUUUUUUUUUUUUCAGUCAGAAAUAUGAAUGAGUCUCAAUUUUUUUUGAAGUCUGAAUGUAUUUGAAUAUAAAUAUUUAAAUAAUACGCUUGUUUUUCUUAUUUUAAUAUCUAAAUAUAAGUUGUAUCUUGUUGUAUUCUGUAAAUGAAAAAUAUCUUAAAUAUAGUUAUUAAACAUUUACAUGCUUUUAAAAUAAUUAAAAGAUUAGGUUUUAUAGUUUAGAAAAUAAAUUUUGAUAUUAUUAGCCUGUUAAAUAUUUUUAUAAUAUAAUAUUCACUUCUCAUUCAAACAUAAUUUUUUUCGAUUUAGAUAAAAGUUAUAAAAGUUUAUUUUUUCUAUUCAGAUAUAAAUAUUUGAACGUCAAACAUAAGUUACCAAAAACAAGCAAGUAAAUUUUGGAAAAAGUUUGAAAUUAAUAAAAUUUCAGAUUCCAGAAGUUAAACAAAUGAACCCUAAAUCAACAUAGUACUUUAUUGACAUAACUAAGGAAUUUCCAACAUUUACUUUAGUUAAAUUACGGGAUCUCAAAGUAGAUAAUAAUUGUAGUAUUAUAUAUAUACAAUUGAUUUUAAUAUAAAAAGAUAUACUUUUUAAAUUUAUUUUGUGUAUGAACAUAAAUAUGUCAAUACUAUCAAUUUAUCUUACAUGUGUUAUUAAUAUCGAAAUCUAUUAACCAAAAGAUUUGUGUAAAAUUUUUAUAAUAAAUGUGAUUAUAAUAUACGUCAAAAUAUAAUAUAAUAUAAUAAAUAAAUUAUUUUACAGUUUUCAGCAAAAUAUUAAAACAUAUUUUAUAGCAUUAGACUGUUAAUUAAAUAUUUUACUAAUAACAUUACAUUUUUAUUUAUUUUAAAAUAAUAAAAUCAAAUUUUUUUGGUUGCCAUAGGUAAAGAUUAUGAUAGUAAAAGAAAAAAAAUUAUUUAACAAUUUUUUAAAAAAUUGAGAGAUGUCUAUGUACAUUUAAAUAAACCAUAGGUGAUAGGACCUAGUUUUCCUAUUUUGAGUACAUUUAAGUAAAAAUAGGGUCUAGUUUUCCUAUUGGCAUAAAAGAAUUGUAAAUGCAUGAGCUUGGUCCAUUUUCAAACCCAAAGCACCAAACUGCUACCAAUGCAAUGAAGUAAUGUACGUGUCGUUUUUGGGUUAUUCCAAACUCGUCCAACAAAUAUGAUGUGAUUAAUUGAAGAAUGCUAUAACUCGCAGUGUAAACGAAAAUUUUCAUAAUAAAUUAAUGAUUUGAAUGUCUAAUUUUUCCUCUUUGCCGUUGAUUUACUUAUUAUUAUUAAUUUUUUAACAGCUUUGCGUGUAAUUUGAUUUUGAAAGGAUCAAUAUAAUAUGGGAUGUUUGAAAUUAUCCAUUUUAAAUCUAAUAAAUCUCCAUUGUCGUGUAGAGGUUGGCCAAAUAAUAAUAAUAAUAAUUGUAACAGUUGGUUGGUGAUCUCAUAAUCAGAAAAAGAAGUAGCUAAUGGAUUGUUCAAACAUUCAAAUGCUGUUUAUUAAACAUCUAUUUUCGUCUGUUUGACCCUUUUGACCGUUCUAGUUUGGUUGUCGGACUUCUGGUAUCACAUUUUUAUCUCAAGUUAUGAAAUUGUACGAGCACUCAUAUUUGAACACCGUCGAGAUAAAUAGUAUGAUAAUAUUAUUCAAAAUGAUAAUAUUAUUCAUGUUACAGUAUUCGGUUCUAUGUAUUUUAUUAGUAGUCAAAAUUAUUUUUCUUAGAAGAAAAAGUACCAAUUGUAUCCCAAAGUUUUGAAAAAUGGUUAUGCACAUCAAGAGAUUUCUCAAAAGAGUCAUUAACAACUUUUUUUUUUCUAUAAUACUCUUUCAAUAUAAUAGCUAAUAAAUUGACUUUAAAAUUUAUUAAUAUAUACAAAUAUAAUAUAAAUAACAUAAUAUUCUUAGAGACAAAUAAAAUUAAAAUUUUUAGAUAUUUAAAAUAAUUUUAAAUAUUUAAAUUAUUAUAUUUAUUUUGAUAACAUACUUGUGUUUAUUAUAAAGUUUUUAAGUAAGUGUUUCACUUAAAUAGAUUUUAUAAGUAAUAAAAUAUCUCAAAUAUUAAUAAUAUUAAAAUAAUUAUUUUACAUAUUCAAAUUAAUUUUAAAUUUUAUUUUAUUUAUUUUAAUGUUAUGGUUCUAUUUAUUAUAAAUAAAUUUUAAUAUAAUAAAGUAUGUCUAAUCGACUGUAAAUAUUAAAUACUAAUACAAUUAUUUAUUAUAAAAUAAAAUAUUGGAAUUAAUUUUUAUCAAUAAAAUAAAAAAAAUAUGAUUAAAAAAAAAAGAGUCCUUGUAUUUUUUAUUGAAAAGUAAAACUAGAGGGUGGUAUAGGUGUCCACCCCAUUUGUUAUUGUAAUAUUUAUUCGGUCUCUAUGUCAUAGUUAUUUAAUCAACAAAAAAAUUGAGUUUUACACGUUAUUAUUAUUGUGGAGCUUUUGGGAUACGUGUUCUUUCAUUUAGGAAAUUAAGUUGUAGAUUGACUGGUAAAAUACUUUUGUUUAUCACACUCAUGAUGUGGUCAGAUUUACCAGAUAAAUGAUAAACCUCCCUUGGCUCGUAAAAGGCCAAGAGUGCAAUCAUGUCAACAUCCAAUAUCAAAUAACGUUAAAAAAGUUGCAUUAUAUCGCCAACAAAAGUAUAAAUUCGUUGAACAAAGACUACCACAUAACAUUUUCAGAUACGUGAUAAAAUAGGAGUUUGAAUAGGUGUUCUUUCCCUUAGAAAAAUUAACUGGCAGAGUGACAGUCAAAAAACGUUUUGUUUAUCAAACUCAUGCUGUGGUCAGAUAUUCGGACUUUCAUGUCACAAUAUUCAUUGAUCUAAUUCGAAAGAUCAAAUUUGUAGGCGGGGACUUGAACCAUUAUCUUCUUUCAAAGAUCCAGCGAGUGAUCUAUACAGUAAAAUCAUUAUAA